GGGUGGGUUGCCAAACUUGGAGACCUUGGAGCUGCAUAAUGUAAAUGUGGAGAGGAUUUGGAAAAGCCAACUUCCGGCCAUGUCUUGUGGUAUUCAAACUUUAACCCGGUUGAUUGUAUACGGCUGUAGGGAAUUAAGAUGUCUGUUUUCAUCUUCUAUAGUUAACAGCUUUGUUCGACUCCAACACCUUGAGAUAGAUGAGUGCCCUAUUUUGGAAGAGAUAAUAGUCAUAGACCAGCAAGAAAGGAAGAAUGUUGUGUUCCCUCAGUUACAAUUUCUAAAGAUGGUAGAUCUCGAAAAGUUCACAAGCUUCUGCACAGGAGAUGUGCACAUUGAAUUUCCAACAUUGGAAACUUUAGAAGUAAUAAGGUGUCCUGAAUUCCUUUUAACUGCUCAUGACUUGACAAAAGAGGUACGUACAAGAUUUAAAAUUUACUCUUAAUAAUUGGCAUUACGUUUUCUUUUUGGUCCUGAUUUAUCAUGCAUCCAACCAGGUAUUCCCCAAUUUGAAAUAUUUGACCAUUGAAGGAAAGAAGAUACCAAUGGCAGCUGAGUUUCCAGAGGACAUGUUUUGCAAACUCAACUUUCUUGAUGUUAUAUUUGAAGAGUCAACUACUAUUUCAUCACUUGAUUUCCUUCGGAGAUUUCACAGCAUAAGAGAACUCACAAUAAGGGGAGGAGGAUAUGUUGGGGCGUUAAGCCAUCAUAUGGAGUAGAAAAUUGGACGAAGGCAAUCAUAAGGAAUCUACACAAUUGUUGUGAUCUGAAGCAUAUUUUGAUCCAGGAAUCCAAAAUGGACAAUUUGGUUCAUCUAACAGUUGAGUAUUGUGACCAUUUGAUUAAUCAAGUGCCACCUUCAACAUCGUUUCAGAAUCUGACAACUUUGAAGGUGUGGAGAUGCAAAGGAUUGAUAAAUGUGCUAACAUCCUCGACAGCAAAGAGUUUGGUACGACUGACAGAGAUGAGUAUCGUUGACUGCAGCAUGAUAACAGAAGUAGUGGCAGAUGAUGAAGGAAAUGCUGCAAAAGAUGAAAUUGUUUUCAGCGAGUUGAUGGACUUGGAGCUUUGUGAUUUAAGAAGACUUACAAGCUUCUGCUCUGGCAACUGCGCCUUCAAGUUCCCAGCUUUGACAUAUUUAAGUGUGGAUAAAUGCCCCAAUAUGAAGAUUUUCUCUGGAAAAGAAUUAAGCACUCCCAGUUUACACGAAGUAGAGAAACACUGGCUGUCUUGUGAGUAUUGGACUUGGAAGGGCGACCUUAAUUCUACCAUACAACAGAUAUAUCUUGAAACAAAGGUUCGUAUUCAUUACUGAGAGACCCAAAAGUUACUGUUCAAUUAGAUUAAGCACUCCCAUUUUAUUUGAAAACUGUUGUUCCUGCUUUCACCUUCAAUUUGUUUUGUUCGUUGUUUACAGGAAGUCCAAAAUCAUAAAGAUGAUUCAGGCCAACCUUCUGUGCAGCAUCAGGAAUGAGGCCAAUUUUCAUUGCAAUAUGUGAGACAUGGUAUGCAGCUCGUGUAUUUACUCAAGCGCAUGUUUGGGCCAUCUGAACAUUGAGUGGUUUGAUAUCUCUGCAGCGCAUGUAGGUCAGAAACUGACCAGGCAGCUCCUCCAAAAGUGCUUGUACAACAGAAAUUUGCCCACCUGUUCAGAAAACAAUGUGUUCGUUUGUUAAGGCAUGAAAAAAUUCAGAAACUUUUGUGAAUUAACUCCCAAAUUCAAUAUUUUGAACUAAUUUUGUCAAAGAAUCAUAUGCACUCACUAUGAACUUCUCGCAUUGGAACAAAUUGUACUAUAUCUCUGGUAGCUACCCGAUCAGUAGAGCUCUCUAAUCUACGGCCAUUAUCAGCAUCAAGAAUCUGCCAACAAAGUUAUCAGCAUAAAAAAUCUGCAACAAAAGUGGGAUAAUACCACACUGCAUAUGUACUCUAAAUUGAAUCUAUCAAACUAUAGAAAAAAGAAGUUCAAUGCUAGUAAGAAGAUAUUCCAGUUAGAAAACAUUGUGUACCUCCAUUUGUGUAAAAUCUGCACCUCCCACACCCACAAUUAGAAUUGACAGGGGAAGAUCAGAAGCCCUUACCAAAGCAUCUUUUGUUUCUUGGAGAUCUGUCAGAACUCCAUCCUAAAUAGACAAUGCAAAUUUACAAAUCAGCCAAAAAGAAUGAUAGAAAGAGAAAACUGUGAAUAUAUAGAAUCAUUGUAAUCACCGUUAUAAUGAGUAAGACGAAAUACUUGCUUCUGUCGUAUGAGAGGGACUGUCCAGCAAUUCGUGCAGCGGUGUUGAUCACUUGACCAAACAGAGUCGGUCCUGCCAAAGCAACAUUGUUUAGAGCGCUUGCAUAAGCAGCCAUAAUGCCUUCAACUCCAUCUACCUAUUAAAUAAAGAAACCAGCAAUUAAUAAAAAAAAAUGGAAGAGGAUAAAAUAUACAUCUUUUAGGAUAAAAUUCCAAGGAAAUUUUAAAAAAAAUGUAGAAACAUAUUAUAUUGUUUGUUAUUAAAAAUGAAAAGUUAUGGGAGACAAGUCAACCAAAUAAGGAUUAUAGCAAAGUUGCAAACUCCAGCUACCCCUACCUCAAAGCCACCUGCUCUUCCAUUCAAGUUAAAACAAUGUGAUACAGUGUCAUCAAAUGUCUUCCCUCCAAAUCCCCAUGCAGGAAAGCGUCUAUCAGAAUCAUAAAAUUGUAUGACCUCCCCAAUUUCCGUUAUUGCCUGUAAAUGGUUUAAGAGGACAAUAACUCAUCAGUAAUAUUCUCUCUCAACGUCUACAAACUAAUUUUAUGACCUUCAGAGUUCAGAGAUCACUUGUCAAAGUGCUAGUCAUAACAAAACCUUACCUGCUGGUAAGAAUUCAAUCUGCCUGAAGGAUCAAUAUAGUGCAAAGAAUUUGGAUUUCGAGGAUUUCCAUUUGAAGCUGGAUGAUUUUGCAUUUAAUGAGAGACAAGAUGAAAUUGGACCAAAUAAGAGGAAAUAAACAAACAAAAAGAUUAUAUUGCAAAUUUAUCUUCAACAAGUAAUCUCUUUCUAAUUACCUGUAAAGUCGACUGCAACCAUAAAAUUCAACUCAAACCCACUAGAUAUGUAACCCAGAAAACUAUAUUGCUCUUGCUCAACAAACUUUUCAACAAACAACUGACUUUUCAGAACCUAGGAAAAAGUCAGAUAAAAAAUAAAGUGAUAUUAAAUUAUCAAAAACUGUAAGCAUGAACAAACACCUUUGGUGGAGUUAAAACAAAAAAGAAUAAACACCUUGUCAUGGCCACGUUGAGUUGAUGGUAACAUAAAAGUUGCACCAGUUCUUUCUUGAUGAAGUUUCUCCAGGUCUCCAACUGAUUUCUAAAUUUUACUAAUAACAGAAAUAGAAAACCUUGACAUCAGAAAGGCAAAAGGAUAAAAGAGGGAAGCUGAUGACAUUAAGAAAUUUAACAGUUACCCCAUCAGUACGUGAUUUCCACUGGUAUUGAAAUCAAAACAUUCCAUGAUUAAUGGGUUUUCCUGUACCAAAGAGAAUCAUAAACUAAAAAACAUUUCCCCAUGACCAAACUUCACUACCUAAUAUACAUUUAAGUAACAAGCACAAGAAGAUGACAAGGUUACCUUGCUCACAAAUUGCUGCAUGCUCAAAGUUAUUGGUCUCCAAAUGGGAUUCAAGUUAUUGUUUAUCACCUCCGUCUUGUAGAUAGGAACAGAAUUUCCACUCUCAACAAUUCUAGAUAUUCUUAAGAAGGGAUCCUAUACAAUAUAAGAAGAAGAAAAAAUAGCAUCUAAAUUAAUAGAUUAAUUAGUGAACCUGCAAACUUAGCUACUUUGUCAGAACUUACACUUUUGGAAAACAGGUCUACAUUUUGCAAAUGCGAGCAACGGAAUGCUAUUUCAACAGCACUCUUGGAAGCAACUGUUUCCUCAGCAUGGACAGAGAGUGUCCCAAAGUUUCUUGAAACUCGAAGCCCAUAAUUGUUAUGGAGUUUUAAGGUUAAAGUUCGAUUUUGUUUGGUCACUAUCUGCCAUUUAAAAGGAAAAUAUGACACUUGUUAGUGCAAAACAAGAAUGCCAAAGAAGAAGACGAAUGCUAGUAAAAAGCAUCUGAGAAUAUUUUGCCCUUUUUUAUAGGAAACAGAUUUUUACAGAAAAUUAGAUGGGCAUAUGUUGCCCAUUGAAUAAAGAGAAAAUACAUAAAUUCAUCAAACACAAUAUAACCCAGAAACUUACCUCAGAGAGAACACAGCUAGCUUCUCCCAGGAAGUCUUGAUCCUCCAACUUUAGCAUCUGCAGGGCAAUGUAAAUAAGAAGUUUGAACUUUAAACUUCACGCUUCAACAACUAUUUUGUCAUGAGAUAAUAAUGUCUUGAAAGUAAUUAGGGAUCACUGCAGCAAAGAAUCAAAAGAACACUAGAUUCCCUACUUAAUGUCUUAGAAUCCAUCUGGAUUUGUUCAUUUUCUCUUUCCACUAGCAUAAAUUUACAUAUUUAUCAUUUUUCCCAUUAAUUUUAAUACCAUUUACAAUUGACAUAAAUAAUCAUCACAUUUUUAGAUUAUCUAACUUUUUCAGCAAAUGCUUCCAAAUGAUUACAGUUUCUAGGAUUAUAACCAUCAAAAAAUUUUCACUUUGACUCAAAUUCCGCAGACAAAUACAUCAUAGGCUCUAAAGAUUUACUUAUCUGUUUAGGAGAAAUACGUCGACGAGACCAGGCAUGGUGAGCAGAUAUCUGGGGGCAGAGUUCCUCGAGCCGGUGUGUUCCGUAAAAGCCUGAUGCGCGGGGGAACAGGAGCAGAAAUAUCCUGCUCGUCCACGAGCACGUCAUCCGCGAGGUCAAUUUCCUGUAAGAGGCAUAAGAUCAUUCCGGCUAGAGGUCGAGAAGCGAGGAGACCCGGUCGACGGCAGUUGGCAAGACAUGCUCUCCAGCCCGAGAAUCUAGGCACGACAGCCACGCUUUCCCCAGAACCGUGGCGUAACACGCAAGAUCCCACGUUUUCCCAUAACGCAGCAGUCAGAGUCCCAUUACACGCAAGAUCUCACAGAAUCACGACAGCCACGCUUUCCCCAGAACCGUGGCGUAACACGCAAGAUCCCACCUUCGCCCAUGACGCAGCAGUCAGAGUCCCAUACCGUCUGGCAAAAAGCGGAAAACGGGGAUUCGGAGAAGCCUAUAAAAAGGUAGCCAACGAAGGUAAAAGGGUUAGCAUUUUUGAGAUAAAAGAAAAAACCACGAAAAAGCCAUAAGACCUGUGGCAAGCGUUCCCCGAACCUUCAUAUCUGACUUGAGCGUCGGAGGGUUUGCGCCGGGAGAACAACCGGCGUACUCUGACUUGUCUGUGUGUGCAGGGACAUCUGGAGAAGAAGCAUUACUAGGAGACCUCCUGGUCGUGGUAAAGUUGAUCGAGCAGAGAUCCUGGUCGUAGAACGAGGAGAACCGGAAUCUCGCAUCAACAUUAUCCAUUCCAAUACUUACAAUAUGGUCAUUUUUUACAGAAACUUCUUUAGGUCAUGGCAACAACUAUUUAACUGUAUUGUUUUUAACAACAUAGAUCAAAAUUCCAUUUUGGAAAAAAGAAAAUUUAGCCGUAAGGACCAUCAGAAAAAUUGUUCUUUCCCAGUUAUGGUAGCAGGACAAAUAUGUCAAACCUUGCAAGAUGCAAUAAUAGAAAGUUCCAUAAUAACUAUCCUGGCCUUAAGAUUUGUUUAUGAUAUAUGACAGCCAACUUUUUAAGUUUCUUGCCAUGCUAAGUGUUAGUUUAUAAUCAAUCAAGUGUUCACAAAUUUCCCGAAAUUGAUAGAAACUAUUGCUGAUGCAAUUUAGUUGAGACGUAUGCUUAGACAACAAAUGGAUCAGUCAAAUGCCUUGGCUAACUCUAAACUUUGGAACUGAAGUAGUGCAUAUCAUUUACAUCUGAAUUGAGCGAAAAAAAAAAUAAUUAAGAAAUUUUUAUAUACCUUCACUGGAAUAUUGUGGUACUUGGUAUCCACAUCAUACACACGAAAGCUGGCAAAAAGAAGAAAAGCAUUAAGGAAUUCGAAAACAUUAAAUAUUAUCAAAUCAAGCAAGGCUUAUGAGAAAUGAUAAGCAAAUGAACUAUCAAGAGGGAAAAAAAAACAAACUUUAAAAAGAACACAGUAAAAACUUACAGCAAGGGCUGAACGAUCUCAAACUGAAAAGCAAUUGAAAUCUUUCCAAUCCAAGCAGGAUUCAGAUUGUUCAUAAUCACCUCUGUACGUCCAAUCUCCACCAGCCUCCCAUCUCUUUUCUUUGCAUACACAACUGCCAUGGGAUCACUCUAUGACACAAAAAGUCAUGUAAAUACAUUUGCUUGUGAGUAUAAAAAUAAAAAGACAGAAGGCCUAUGGGUAUGUAUCCACUUAUGUCAUAUAAAAUAUAAACAUAUAUUAGUUAAAUAACUUUAGUUAGUAAUCCACAUUAAAAUACAGCAGCAUUUGAUGUAUGCUAGUAUCAGCUAGUAAAAAGAUAUACCGCUGAUAAAUGUUCAUUAUCAAAGAAUUUUAUCUUGCACAUAUAACAUAUUUGACUAGUGCACAAAAUUGCAAAAACAAUAAAACCACCAACCAUGACUUGUUAUACAUUAUCUGGAACUCUCAAGUUACUGCUCCUUACUGGAUUACAUUGGAUAUAGACAGUGUAUAUAACAAACUAUUCUUCUUUGUCUAAGUUUAGAAUUUUGGUGCCAGCACUAAGCGUUAUUCAGAUCAUAUAUCCCUAGACCCUUCAUGAACAGAGAAAGGAUAUUGACAGGGCCAUUAUGAACAAAUAAGCAGAUCAUAUAAGGAGGAUACAAGAUAAUAUGAGAAUCAAUCACCAAGACUACCAACAGCAUGAACAUGGCAUUACUAGACAUAAGACAACAAUAAUAUGAAGGCGUACCUUUGAUGCGAUGUCAAGAUCACGCAACUUUGAAGCAGAUAAAGAUAACUGCAAUAUAUAUUCAAAAACAUACGAACGAAUACAGAUACAUGAAAAAGCGGAAAAGGAGUAAUCCAUGCAUAUGCUGCACGAAAUGAAAAUUGUCAGUACGAUGUGGGUCAACUGACAGGCAAUAUAUAUCUGUCAUAAACAGAACAUGUAGAAAACCAUCAUUUCCGAUUCUGACAGAAUCACUUCUAAUAUUAAAUCUUAUAAGCAGCAAGCAAUAAUAUAUGUAAUUAAGUUUUAUAUAACAACAGGAUGUGACACGUCAAUUACAAGCAUUGAACCACAUUUAAUUUGUUAUCAUAUGACUUGUUGCCUUUUCUCCAGGAAAGUUUGCAAGGAGAUCCUCAGGUAAGGUCCACAUCAAUACAGGAAUAUUACAAUCACUUGGUGGUCCACGUUAUGGAAAGACAUUCUUAUCCUCGUAACAACAUAAUCCUUAAUCCACAAUCUUUUAUAAAGUUAAUGGUUUGUCUUAUGCAAACCAGCAUUCACAAAAUCAUGUUCCAAUCAGGGGAGCAUUAUCAUGGGGAAUCUUCACGAGGGGUAUAAGUCAAAUUUGAUCACGAGGGGUAUGAGUUAAAUUUGAUAAAUGAGGCAUAACAGAAUAGUCAACUUUGAGGAUACACAGGAAAACCACUGUGCAUUCAACAGGAUCAAACAUCAACUUUCUCAAUGUUCACAAGGCCAUUGUGCAUUCAACGCCAUUCUUUUUUUAUUUACCUUAACCAAUCUUAAUCUAAAAUUCACUCCACAGAAUGUUGUUAUUGGGUAUAAGCAGUUAAACUUACUGUUCUCCAUAUGCAAAACAAAAGCACUUGCUUGGUGUGAAACCGUCGAACCAACACCAGCAAAAGAAUUGGUAGAUUUGUAAUGAAAUAUGAAGAAACAGCAAGGUAUUAAUUGAAGAAUUCAAUUUCUCAUUAUAUUUGGACAUUUGGACGUCAUUAAUGUUAAUUGAUUUUUUCCGCGUAAAAAACUUCCCGAUUGAUUUUGUUCCUCCAAAUGCCAUUCAUUGGAAAUAAGUUUAUUUUUCUGACAACUUCAACUCAUAAAUUUAAUUAUUUUGUUAUAAUAAUAGGUUGAAUAAUUCUAUGUAUUACGACAAAAAAAAAGAAUCUUAAUUUUAUAUCAUAUAUAAUUAUAUAUAUAUAGACUCAAGCAAGAGUAUUAUUUAUCAUGUAAUUUAUUAAACUAAUCUCACCUAAAAAGUUGUUGAGAAAAGACAGUAAGUUAAUAAAUAUUUCGUCUUCCCCAAGGUUUUUGAUUAAAAGAAUGACUUGAUAUGGCUGAUGUUGAUAAAUUAAAAAGGGAAAAAUAAUAAACAAUGGAGGAAUUUGUCAAAUUAGGUCAACAAUCGUAGUCUAUUUAAUUUCGUAAUAAUGGCAAUGACGAAGCCCUUAUAACAUAAGCUUGCAAACGUAAUCAAGAUAUCCGUGGAAAACAAGCAACAAUUGCAAUGGGGUGGAAUAAAAUGUCAUUCACAAUCAACUACUAAGAUACUGAAGGUUCAAUCGUUUAAGGGUAUUGAUAGUUUCUUCCUGUCGAAAUUUAUGUAAAAUAUUUAUUCGUCUAUUAUUUUCAUAAUAGUUAAUAAUCUCUUCGUAUAAAAAAACUUAAAAGAAAGUAAAGGUAAAUGGGUCAUUUGCUUAAUAUUUUAUUUUGAAAAUAUAAAAUAUAUAUUUACCAUAAGAAAAUAUGUUUAAAGAUAAAAAAAAUAAGAAAACUAUAUUCAUACUAAUUUUUUAUCAACACCGAAAAUUAUAUUUCUUAUUUCUAAUAUUUAAAUUUUUUUAUUUCAAUUUCUGUUUAUAUAAUUUAUUUAAUUUAUAAUAAAGAUGAAUAAUUAAAUAAAUUUUAAAAUAUCUUAAAAUAAGAAUAAUACUAUAAAAUUAUGAUGAAUGAAAGUUAUUAAUUAUUAUGAAAACAAUAAAAAGAGAAAUGGUAUGUAUCAAUUUCUACAUGAAGGAAACUGCCAACCUCCCUUUAAUAUGUUGUGACAAUCAUUAGAAUUUCAAUAAAAUGAUAAACUCCUCUACAUAAUCCAUAGUAUAGAAGCCAUUUGCAAAAUUUCCAAGCGUGGAGAACAUGCAUGCAUGCACGUGGAAUUCCAUGCAUAAAAUGAUAAAAUACUCGUCAAAGUCUCUUCAUUAAUUUGUAGUUUAUAUGAUUCGCAAAGAAGUUUCAUUAUUUAAUUUCCAAGUCUUGGGUCGUGCAUCCGCGUACAUGAAUAAGAUUACUUGCCACGAUUACCAAUUUUUCAUCACUUUAUUAAAUCUUUUUCUUCCUGUACAUGAAUCUUGUUAAAUUCAACUUUCUAUAUCAUACUUUGAAUCUUGUUUAAGGAAUCUUUGUAUUCUUUUGUCCGCAUGUCAUGUGCAACACAAAUAAUAUUUUACGUUACACUUGAUAUUCAUUCAUAUAAAUUAAUCAAGGAUAAGAUAUAUAUUGCCAAAUUGAUUAAAAUAAUUAUUAAUUUAAAAUUAAUAAUUCCUUUAUCCAUAACACUAAUAAUAAAGUCCGAUUAUAUAUAGGCAUGCACAUUUUUCCAUGGAGGAUUGAUAAUAAAAUUUUAUAGUGGGUAAUUAAGUGCAACCGUGUUGGUAGAUCUACCUACCUAAUAUUAAUUAAUGAUUGAAAAGAAGAACAUUUAGUUCAUAGUUAAACCAAGAUUGUUACAGAAAAGGGAAAAGACUAAGACAGUGCUCAUGAAGUGGAUAGAAAUAACAGAGAAAGAAAUAGCUAUAUACAAUAAAAUAUUUCUCCUAUAUAGUCAUAUAUACUUUAUAUACAAAUAAAAUAUUUCUCCUAUGUAGUCAUACUUUAUAUAGAAAUAGUUUUUAUUUAAUUAUAAAAAAGAUUUAAUCUCAAUUUAAGUUAGUUAUAAAUAAGGAUAUACUCUAUAUUAUAAUAAGUUAUAAUUUUUUUAAGUCUUGUCUAAAAAGAAUUUGUCCCCGCAUAGUAAUAUUAUUUGUCUAUUGCAAAAAAAGUAUAGACCUUUUUUUUUUAAUUAAGCCUACCUUUAAUAUCAAUUUCUGACAUAAUCCAGUAAUUAAUUAUUAAUAUAGUAAAUAUUUUACCUCUAAUUUAAUUGCACGAAGGAUAACUAAGUGAAAACGAUAAUUUCUGUAACUAUAUCUUUACUAAGUUAAUUAUAAUAUUCUCAUAUUAAUAAAAUUAACUUACCUCAAUAUUAUGAUUAUAGAAAAAUUGGACUAUAUUUGAGAAUUUUGAAAAUGAUGGUCAUGACUUAUGUGCUCGAUCUGUGAUUUUACGUUGAAGUUGAUAGGGCUGAACCAUAAAAAACGUUUAAAGCAUAUUGUCGUUAGUCUUUGUUUCCGAAUAGACAAAAGUGUCAAAUACUAUGUUUAUCAAUAAGAACAUUAUUGAGUCUUUUUUUAUCUUUUUUUUUUUAAAUGACAAAUGAGAGAUGAAUUCAAAUUAAUUAGGAAUUUUUAUCCGUUAUUUAUUAGAGUUGUGCUAGUAUUUUUUUUUAAAAAAAAAAACUACUAAUUACAACAACCUUAAGUAAAACCAACAUAUAUUAUAUAGCUCAUCAUGUGAGCACAGAAUCCGACAUUCCUUUGAGACUUAUAUUUCUCUCAAAUUAAAAUACCGCAAACAAAAGUAUUAAACAAGUAAUAAUAAAAAAAUGCCAAGUGAAAUGGUUCGUUCGACCAAAAAAUGCCGGAUUUGACAAUCACUUUUUGGUCUCCGGCGUGUGGUAUACACACUCCCUUUUAAUUACUAUUAUUAACACCAUGUUAUGUAUAUACAUAAAAGAUUUCAACCCUCCACAUGUAAGGUCCACCGCUAAACCAAGAAGUUGUUCUCAGAACAAUAUGAAUAUUACUUAGUUAUGUCAUAAUUUUAUUAAUAAAGAUAGAAGUUAAUUUAUUUUUAUUUUUGGAAAAUAAUUUUAAAAUUUGUUAAAUAGGUAAAAAUUAUUUUAAGCCCCAUAGUUCGAGUCAAUUACCCAGUUUGGUCAAUAUUAUAUUUUAAAAGAUUAUCCAGAACAUCUCUUUUACUCACUUUUCUAGUUGUUGGACAUAAAUAUCAAAGCAAAAUUCUAUAUGAUAAAGUUUAAAAUUCAAACUUAUUUAACAUAUAGCAGGUGAAAGAUAGAAAAUAAUUAAAAAAUAGAAAAAAAAUAAAUAAUGUAGAUUUUUUUGAGUAAAUUUCUAAAAAUAUAUUGACUCCUCCAUGGGUACUUAAACUACAGGGACAAACAGACAUUUCCCUUUUUGUUUAAUAGAUCAUUAAAGGAUCCAUCCCCUUAAUGCUUCCCAAUCACUCUCUAUCAUCGAAGUUAUUUGUGCCAACCACCAAUGCACUAGCAAAUAUUGAUUCAUGUUUAAGCUCAUGUUUCACAUACUCAUGAAUACUUAGUGAUCAUUUAUAAAUGUUAAUUAAUUAAUUGAGUAAAAGAGCAACAUAAAAAAAAAUACUUUCAUUAAAGUGUGAAUGAUUAAUUACCAUGAAUUUCAAUAUAGAAAUUUCACCAAAACUGUUUAAGCUUGAAUUUUUAAUUCUGCGUAGCAAUGAGUCCAUGACGGCUCCAGCACUAAUCUUAUCCACUAGGGAUGGCAAAAAUCCCCAUGGGGACGGGUACGUUCGGGGAUUUUCUCCAUUCGGGGAGAGUAUGGGGAUAAUUUCAUACCCAAUUUCUUAUUCGGGGAAGGGACGGAGAAAUUUUUUUACCGAAUUUCUUAUUCGGGGAGGGGACGGGGAUGAGGUGGAAUCCCCAUCCCCUACCCAUUUCCCCAUUUUAAUUUUUAAUUUAAUUUUUAUUUUUUAAAAUUACUAGUAAAUAAAUAAUAAAAUUUGAAUUAUAAAAUUAUAAGUAUUGAUAAAAAUAAAAAAAUAUCAAAAUAUUUAUAUUAUUAAACUUUUAGGCCUAAUUAACUAAUUAAAGUUCUAAAUUUUUAUUUAGAACAUUAAAAAGACCGGACAGAUUCUAUUAGUCCAAAACUUUUGUUUUAAUUUUAAUAUUCAUUAAAUAUUUUAAACUUAAAUCUAUUUUUUAUUUAUUUUUAGAUGUUAUAAUUGCCCAUAGCAAAUCACAAUUUUAAUAUCUAAUCUAAUCUAAUAUUUGCUCUUGAUUUGCUUCGACUUAACUAUUGUGUUGUAAAGGGAAUAGUCCACAUUUAUAAAGUGCCCACGCCACCAUUGAAAAGUUAAUUUUGAAUCUAAAUUUGAUUUUAUUUGUAACAAUUUUGUAUUAGCCUAUUAAUUUGUUCAUGAUAGUUUGUAUCCCUUGCAUGCUGCGUUACUUACUAAUUUAGUGUAUGUGACUUUUGUAAUGGAUAUUAAUGUAAAAUAUAUUUCGAACUUUACUUUUAUUUGAAUUUUUUAUUUUAAUAUGAUUAACUCAAAAUCGAAAAUAGAAAAAAUAUAUUAGUUAUUCGGGGAUCGGGGACCCUCGGGGAUCCCUUGUUAUUAUUCGGGGAGGGGAUGUGGAUUCUCUUAAAUAAUUUUGACGGGGAUGGGGAGGGGACGGGGACAUACGCAAAAUAUCGGGGAUGGGUACGGGGAGAUUGGUCUCCUCCCCUCCCCUCCCCAUUGCCAUCCCUAUUAUCCACUUAUCCUUCCCGUAAAUUAUUUCCUACUCGUUUACCAAUUUCUCUAUCUCUUUAUUCAAAUUUCCAACGAAGAAAUAGUUAUGUCCUUUUAUCCAUAUCUCACUUGCAACACACCUAAUCUUUUUUAUGGUAAACUGAAAAAAAAAAAAAAAACAAAAAGAGUGACGCUAUUGGCACCCCUCUAUAUCUCUUGUUCUUUAUUUAUAAAUUUACGCUUUAUAUUUAAAUUAUAUUAAAAAUAAAACUUAUCUAAUUAAACCCACCUAUAUUUUCUUAUUUUUUCUCCAUUAUAAACUCAUUGAAUCUAUAAAUUUUGAAAAAAUAAUGAAUUGUCAUACAAUAAAAUUAAUGCAAGUUUUAUUUUUCUCUUAGAAAAUCAUUGACAUCAAUAAGGUAAAACUAGUACAAGAUAAACCGACACUAAUUUUAUUUUAUUUUUAAACAUUCUAUUAAAUUUUUCUGUCUAAAUAUCAUUGUUCUCUAUUUCAGAGUCAAGUCAAAAUUGUACAAAAUGAAAAAGAGAGGGUUAAAUUGACCCAGCAAAAAGGUUUAAUGAAUCCCUGUGAGAGUCUUUAAUGUGUUUCCAGGAAGAUAAUCAAUUAAUUAACAACACCAAUUAAGUAGUUGAAUGAUCUACUAAGCAAGUUCAUAAAAUCUUAAUGUAUUCUAAUUGUUCGGAGAAAGUAUUUUAAGCUCGAAUGAAAAAUGAAUUUCAGGGACUCUUCCAAUUGCACCCAGUCAUCAUGGAUAUUCCAAUCAGUGAAGGAUUAUUUCGACACAAGAAAAAUAAAAGAUAAAAAAGUGUCAACAAAGACGAUGGAGAAUAUUCAAAUAAAGUCUUUAACGUAUGUAAAUGUAAUGUAACUUUAAUUUGACGAGUGCGGGCGUGACGAAUCCCUUGUAACGUGAGCACAAUGACACAGAAAAGAUAGUGCAAAUCAAAGUGGUCUUCUUUAUGAAUUACGAGAGAGAGCGUAACACAAGUUAUCCAAAUUCAGUCAAUCAAGAUAGGUCAAAUUAUCUUGCCAUUGUCGUUUUCGGGGAAAAAAUGUUAGAAUAAAAUGUUAAAAGAAAAUUUAGAAUGUUUGCUAACUACUAAUAUGAGAAGAGUAAUAAAGACUUUAGAAUUAAAAAAAAAAGUUAGUAGCAGACAAUUAAUAGUUGUAAAAGGCUAAAGUUGUUUCAUAUAACACUUUAGAAUAAACUUUAAUUUGCCCCUCACUUAAAAUGAUAAGUCUUUGAUUUACUUCUAGGAGGAUAAGGCUCAAACUCACGACUUUGGCGCUAAGAAGGUAAUGCUCUUAUCAUUCAGUGCUAAGUCUUUGCCUCUAUAAACAACCAUACAAAGAACAUGCAUCUCUUUUUUAUUCCCCCCCCCCCCCCCCAAAAAAAAAAAAAGAAAUCCAUCACCGCAUCCACAAUUUGCUCUCACCUUAUUGAAUGAAAAUGAAGGCUAAAUUGAUAUUUUCACUCUUUUAGGUGAUAAAAUCAAGAUUGUUGUUCUAUCGGGAGAAUGAUUUAAAAUUUACCAACUUUUUAAAUUAGAUUUCUCCGGUAUGUCUCGAAAUGAUUGAGGCUAUAAUAAGUAUAGGUUUUAAUAGAAAAAAAUAUCGGUGGAUUGGCUGUCAAAUAUUCCCUUCACAAAGACAAAAUAUAGCUUUUAUUCUAAUUCUUCAUAGGCUUUAUUUGAUUAUUUCCAAUAACAAUCAUUAUAACAGUGAAUAGCUUUUUGGCAGCCGUAGUUAAGAUAUUGGAUUAGAAACACAGUUUGAGAAGCCAAACAAAACUGAUUCCUUGGAAGAAAUGUAUUGAAAACCUUGAAUCACUCAAUGGGUGUAACAAAUUUACAAGUUAUCUUCAAAAUUCCCAAAGCAAACUUCGCCAAAAUUUAAUUUCCCUCCCACGGAAACAAAUUUUUUUUUGCUUUGAGCAGAUAACUUUCACAGUAGGCUUUUCAACUCAAAAAAAGCCAUAUCCUAGUUAAAGACAAAUCCAGGUCUUAUAAAGUAGCUUAGGAACUCUCGCUGCGAUGGGAAAUUCUUGUGCAUGAACAUGCAACUCAAUCAAGCACAGAUAAUGACAUAAUGGAACCGAAUUAAGUGUCGAACAAAAUACAGAAUGAAAAGAGUUAUAUCAUUGGUAGAAAGUUGUAUUGCUAACUGCCUGACACUCUCAGUCAACUAAUUUUAUGGACUGACCAUCAGUGACAAAAUGCAACAAAUAUUUCUAUAAAGUCAUAAGUUUGCCAAUAGAGCUAAUUGGUUUGAAAGGUUUAAAAUAUACUUUCAAGGCAAAAAAGCUGUCUACAAUUAAACUUUUAUUAAGACUCAUAAUACAGAAAGAAAUUUGCUAAAGAAACAAACAGUACAGAGGAUGAAUAGUAAAAAUGCCAUCGGUAAGACAUAGAUGGACCGGAAAAGGAUUAUCUUGAUGAUACUGGUGCAGCUAUCAAUUCUGGCUUGCGCCCUUCGCACGGGUGUUGCCUGUUGUGGUUUGAUAAAGCACUUGUGCCAUACAAUGAGUAUAACCAAUCAGCUUGAUCAGUUUCUCCCCUUCUUAAGGGAUCAAAUUUACAAUGCCUUCAUAAUGAAUACAGCAGAUGGUGGCUAAUUGCCAAACACUUGACAAUGAUAGGCAAAUUCUUCUGUCAGAAAGCUGGGUGAAAAAGGUCAGAAUCUUGAGACCUGCUCAACCACAAGAUUGCAACAAAAGGGAAUCUGAUAAUAUAUAAUGGGAAAUCAGAUUAGCUUUCUCAUGAACAUUUUAAUAAUCUGAGCCACCAGUUUAUGACAAGGAAGCUUCUAAUGGUUACAACAUUCUAAAUCAUCAAAAAUGGUUCGAGGUCUCUAGCAUCAAUAUUUGCAAUUAAAAAAAAAAAACCUCGAAGAUUAAACCAUUAGAACAAACACUACUAGGUGACUUUCAAAACAUCAUUUCUUGUCCAGCUGUCUUCAUUUUUAGUUAGUUAUUUCAUAGCCAGAAGCACGUUGUUUAAAAUGUCAUUUAACACACAGCAGUACAAUCCACCAUCCGAUCUUAUUAACUUCCGCUAAAAGCAAAAUGAGAUUUUAUUAAAGAAAGGAAAUUUAUAAAAGCUAGCAUACCAUCACAAAAAACUUCUUAGUUCAAAUCUAAGUACAGAUGAAAUAAUCAGAAUAAGUUUAGGCCUGAAAGCAUUGGUGUCUCCUUUAAACAUCUAUUCAAACAAAUUCUGCAAUUCCUCCAAGGUCUCCUCACCAUUUUCCUGUCAAAUUUACAAUCCAAGCACACAAAGAUAAAUACCAAGCAAUAACACUGCUGGAAGAUUAAGUCAGGUUUGAAUAAUUCAAUUAUUCAAUUCCUCCAAGAACAACUUUUGUGGGGCCUACAUAGAUGUCAAAAAGUAAGCAGUGGGCACUACUAGUGCUCAACAGCAAAGGAAAAAGAAAAAAAAGAAGAAGAAGAAAAGAAAGUGGUGGGCCGCUCAGGGGAAAAAAAUACUAAUAAAUAAAUAAAAUAAUAGGCAUGAACAGUAGCCAAUUUUUGGCUAUAAAAUGAGGAUGCUCCUCCUCAUUUCAACAUCCAGUUUGAGAGAAACAUUUCCUAUAUUUAGGGAGUUGAGAGUAUUAAGGGUUUAAUAAACUCUUGAUUUGAGAGAUUAGUGAGUGAGCGAUUGGGUAUAUUGAGAUUCUGGAUAAUGAGCCAAAAUAUUACAAUACUUGUAAUUCUCAUAUCACUAGUAAAAUAUUUUUUUUUCUAUUUUCACCCGUGAAUCUAGGUUAAAAGCCGAACCACUUAAAUCCUAGUGUCCCUGUGUGAUUCUGUUGUCUCAUUAUUUCUCAAUUUCACUUUAGUUGCGUGUCUACUUCACCAAUUAAUUUCCCAACAAUAGAACUUAUAUGUAAUUCGCCAUUGAACAAGACCAAAACUAGGCACCAUGAAUCACUACUUUUCAGAGCAUGAACACACUGAGGAUAAAAAUAAAAACAUAUUAAAAUAUGUUGCCCUUGUGACUAAGUGACCCAUUUCCAAUCUGAUUAGGAGAAAUCAAAAUACCGUCAUUCUUUUGCCAACCAGCAAAGUAAAAGCCAUAACUAAAGCUUGGAAAAAGCUAAAUAAUGCUUAGGAAUUUCCAAACACAAUUCUCAAAUUAUUCUAUAGAAAAUAAAUAUGCAUUGAAGAAUGCUUACAUUAGUUUGUGUUUGGCUCAUCAUCACAACCAUUUCAUUCAAGAAAUCUCCCAUUCCCUCAAAACAAAACUAAAAAGUCUCAUGUAAUAAAAUCCUCACCCGUUCCCCACCCCCCACCCCUUCUUGUAGAAGUUAAUUUUCCUGUAUCUUCAAAGCAACAAAAGCGCAUUAAAAAGUUAAAGAUGAAAUGAAAACAAUAUAUAUAUAGAGAGAGAGAGAGAGACACACACACACACACACAAAAUUGGAGCUCAUAUUAUUUUAUUCAUCAUCACUAUCAUAGACUCCUACAUAGUACAAGAACCUCUUGUUGGCAUUAGACAGAACUUGAAGAGAGAAGAAGGAAAACAACAUCUCGUGAAUCCGAUAAUUAUCCGUCAUUAUAAAAAAGAUUACAGUUUUAUUUCUUAUUGUAUACUACAAAUUACAUGCAUAAUAAAUAAAUAAAUAAAUAAAUAAGAAUUAAAAAUUUUGGAAUUUAGUAAGGUUAGCAACAAAAUAGGCAUGUUGAAUCGCGUAAAAUCUCUUCGUGGCUUCUUUCAUAAAUUUUGAAUCUUGAAGAAUUUUACGAUGCAAAAACUGUCGUGGCUUCCAUGGUCUGCCUUCUUAUUGAUCAAUAUUUAUAUGUACAUAAGAAUUGCCCUAGUUCACAAGGAAAGGAAAUCUUAUCAAACUAGGAAACAUAUAACAACCAAUAAUAUAUACACGUAACUUGCUAUAUAUAUAUAUAUAUAUAUAUAUAUAUAUAUAUAUAUAUAUAUAUAUAUAUAUACACGUGAGUUAACACCCCCCCUCAAGUUGGAGCAUGGAGAUCACGAAUGCCCAACUUGCAAAGAAGGAACUCGAACUCUUUGCUGCCAAGUGCCUUUGUGAAGAUAUCAGCUAGCUGAAUAUUAGUAUAUACAUAGGCAGGCCAUAUGUUUCUUCGUUGAAUUUCGUCUCGGACAAAAUGACAGUCAACUUUGAUGUGCUUGGACCGUUCAUGAAACACGGGGUUGGCAGUGUUGGGAAAAUAUGCUCUUUAAAAGCAUAUGUGUUUAUUUAAUUGUAAUAAAUAAUUUUUCUGAUUAAUAAAAUAGAUGAGGUAUUUUAUUCAAAUAUCUUAAUUGCAUUAAUAUUUGUAUUAAAGUCCAUUUAAUCAUAUUAUAUGUAUUUAUGUGAUCACCAUGUGGAUUCACAGAAGACAUAAAUACAAGUUAUCUUAUGAUUAAAUAAAUUUAGUUCGCAGUUGAUAAAUUAAGUUGGGCACUUUAUUUAGGUAUAGACUGUAAUAAAUUCAUUGAAUGAUUUGUCUUAAUCAUGUAUGAAUUUAUUGAUGUAAUACGACUACAUUGAACAGGAUCACAUAUGAGAUUUAAUUAACUUUGUAAUAACUGUCAGACUUAUUAAAUCACAUAGGCGUUGAUUUUACUGUAAUCUUAAUCUUGAGUUAAUUAUGAUUUCAUGAUUGUAAUUGUUAUUCCAUUUGAGUUACCAAUGGGCACGACACAUCCUUGUGGUCAAGAUUACCCGGUAUCUUGGUGGGAGCAAUUAUGAGUAUUGAAGUUAUGGAUUAACAAUAUAGAAUUUGUACAACACAUCUCUUGAUGGGUUUUCGGCACUUGAUCAUAGAAUUCUCUGGCCAGAGUGUGUCAACAUAUUUAGUAUGUUGAAAAUGAUCAUUAGAGAAAACCAGUAAGGAUCAAGGAAUAAGAUGUUAUUAAAUUGAUUGGACAGUUGAGAUAUCAAUUUAAUUAACGAUGUGGUACAAAGGAUUGUGCAGUAAAGAAAUCAAUGUGGCUUGGGACGAAUUAUUAUUCGAGCAUACAAUUAUGGAAGUCAGUUCCAAUCUUUUAGUGGAGUAGAUUUGGAAUUAAAUAAUUAGGCUAGUUUAAUUACAGGCCUAAUUGUUAUACCACUAUUGUAUGUUCCCAAAUGAUCCCCGGGUUAGCUCAUUUAAUUGACUACACCACUACUGGACUAAUAAGCAAGAUAACUAGCUAUUUGGGUCAAAAGCCUAAAUAUAUCAUUUAGUGGGAGGCUCCAUUUAAUAAGCUUAUGUGUAAGGGGUCUUAUGUUAUUUUACAUGGUGGGUCCCCUAUUAAAUGAAAAGUAACGUGAGUUUUAUUUUGGGGAAUUCUUGGAGCCUAGGGUUUUCACUAAAGGGAGAUAUAUAAGGCUUAUUUUCUCUAAAGGAAAAAGGUGAAGCCACUUUAUACAGAUAAGAGAAUAAGAUUUUUCUCUCUAUUGUUGAGAGAAAAAUUUUCUCGUGCUAGUUGCUUUGGUAGUGAUAAAGGCGCCCACACGUCAAGUGCAGAUUGAACCUGAGUCAUAAUCUGGAAGAUCAUUGGUGAUAGUUCGUGAUCUAACAAGCGUGGUGGUGACGGAUCGUGAUCUAACAGGAGUGGUGGUGGCGGAUCGUGAUCUAGGAGCCUAAAUCACUUCAGCGGAAAAAGCCAACUCGGAUUUUCAAGGUACGAUUUCUAGAAUGCAAAUUCUUAUAUAUUAUAUGAGAGCGAUCUUCAAAAGGUUUUCUAAAAAUUUAAAAACCUGAUUUUUCCCCAACAGGCAGCUAGAUGAAGAGCAGCUUGGCUGUCACAAUACAGGUGCAUGGGCCGUGAGUGAUCAACUCCGAGAGACAUCAACAAUCCUUUGAGCCACUUGAGCUCACAUGUAACUGUUGUCAUGGCAUGAUACUCGGCCUCAGCAGAGGAUCACGCAACGGAGUGUUGUUUCUUAGAUUUCCAGGAUAUAGGAGAGGAUCCAAGCAUGACAAACCACCCAGAUAAAGAACGUCGAGAUAGGGGGCAGCUUGCCCAAUCAGAAUCACACCACCCAUAAAGUUGCAAAUCACAAUAUGAUUUUAAAAACACACUUUAACCAGGGUUACCUUUUAGAUAGCGAACUACCUGCAAAGCUGCUUCCCAAUGUCGCUCCCGCUGCUGCUACAUAAAUUGAGAAAGUAGAUGAACCGAAUAGGACAACUCUAGCCUUGUAGCGGAAAGAUAAAUUAAUCUGCCUACGAGUUGUCGAUAUUUCGCAGGAUUAGAAAAAUAAGGGCCUUCGGCCAAAGCUAGCUGAUGAUUCGGUUUUAAGGGAAGUGGGGCUGGUUUUGCACCAAGUAAUCCAGCCUCAGAGAUAAUAUCUAACACAUACUUCCUCUGAGACAAGAAGAUUCCUAUCAGAUUUCGUGCAACUUCAAUACCCAAAAAAUAUUUCAAUGGACCCAAAUCUUUCAUAUAAAAAUUAUCACUCAAAUACAUUUUGAAUACCUGAAUAGCUUUGUUGUUGUUUCCCGAAACAAUUAUAUCGUCAACAUACACAAGCACAAGUAGAUGUAUGUUAUCCCGAUGCAAGGUAAAAAGAGAAUAAUCCGAGCUCGAUUGAGCAAAGUCGUAAGUCUUCAAAGUCGCUGCCAACUUUGCAAACCAGCAACGGGGAGCUUGCUUUAAUCCAUAUAAUGACUUUCUUAGACGACAAACCCUUCCAGAUUCAUUUGAAGUGAAACUAGGCGGUAAGCGCAUGUAAACUUCUUCAUUAAGCUCACCGUGUAAGAAAGCAUUGUGAACAUCCAUAUGAUGAUGCUCCCAAUUCCUAGCCGCAGCAACAGCCAGAAAAGUUCGAACUGUAACAAAUUUUGCGACAGGAGCAAAUGUCUCUGUGUAAUCAAUUCCUUCAACUAAUAAUAGUUAUCGAUUUUUAGCUAAUGUCUUUAUGCCAUGUUAUUUUGUUUACACAAGUUCUUAAUGUUUGUGGUUAUAUCAUUAUUGAUUUCGAAAAUAAUAUUUUAAUAUUUUUAUUUCAAAUGAUAGGAUAUUUUUUGACACAUUGGAUGCUUUUUGAAUUAAUGAUACCUUUGUAUAUUUCAUUUAUUGUUUCAUCUAACAUUGUUUGAUGAGUGAUGAUACAGUUAAAAGCUCUUGUAUAAACUUUAUUUUAUACAAAUUGAUGAAAUUUAAAUUUAUUGAUUGAAUGAAAUUACCAAAUAAUAAAAAUAAAUAAUGUGGGUCAAGAGUUAGGGGUAGGCAAACUCAAUCCAAUCCCGAUGAAUUCAAUCCAACCUGACGAAUCCAGUCCAACCCAAUCUAAUCCAAUCAAAAUUUGAUAGAUUAAGUGAAUUAUUAUGGGGUUAAUUAGGUAAUUUUUUCGAAUCCAAUUAAUAAUUGGGUUGGGUUGGGUUAAUUAUGAUAAACCUGUCUCACCCAACCCCAUCCAUAUAAAUAAUAGUAAUAGUAAUAAUAGUUAGCCAUCCAGAACUGCUUACCAAAUAGAAGCUAAUUCCUGCAAAUUACAUGAAAAUUGCACGAAAUAUCAAUAUCCUUAUUUUCUUGAUUUCACCUUCAUUGUGUAUUUUUCUCCAGAAAUUCCAAACUUACGAAGAGGAUUCGGGCCACGUUCUAUGCAUCAUAUGGAAUGCGGCCAUUUUUCUGUGUAAUUUGUGAGGUGUUAUAUUACAUGGAGCUUGACUUCUUUCUUUCUAUCAAGGGUCAGAUGGCAUUGGUGAGAGGUUCUUCUGUUUCUUUGUUGAUUGUUCUGCUUUUGGCUUUUUUAUUAAAGUUAUUUUGAAUCCGCUUUCAGAUUGUGUGUUUAAUGAUUUGAUUAAAUUUGUGUUUAGUUAAAUGUAUUUGGAUUUCUGGAGUAUUUCAGCAGUUGAUGAUGAAAUUCAGCAUUAAAUUAACUUAUAAUCAUUCUAAUUAUUGAAUUUUUUUGUCAUGAAAAAUCAUUUAGUAUUAUUGCGGCAGUAAAAUUCAUUGAAGUAGCAUUCAAUAAAUAAAUAAAUACGGUUUAGUCAAAUCGUACAUGUAUCAUUCAGCUUACAACAAUGGAAGGAACUGAAGUUUUCGGAGUGCUCAGUUUAAUCAAAUGAUGAGAAAUAAAUGCGGUUGCAAAGUUGGAUACUUAUUAGUUGCUAUAAAUUUAACUAAGUCGUUAAACGUGUACGUGAUUGCCACUAGUAUUGAAAUCAAAGCAUUCAAUGAUUUAUGGUCUCAAAUUUGAGGUUAAAAUCACCUAAUUAAUUUCAGCAACUACUUCCAAAUGAUUAUUGUUUCGAGGUUUACAAAUAUGAAAUUUUCUUUUCGGCUCAAAUUUUACUAAUGACUACACCAAAGAUUAAAGUUUUUCUUUCACUUCAAUCGCUAUGCUGUGUCUGCCGAGAAAUUCCUUUGUUUUCUUCAAUAAGCAACUACCAGAUGGCCAAAGUUGGCAAUGGUAUGAGGCAAGCUUAGCGAUUAUAAACACCUGGCAAAGACACCAGGUUAAUUUUUAUCUCUUAGCACUUUGUUUUGCACAGAGAUAUCCAAUAUAUACUAGUUUAUCAGAUAAUUUUGAUUAAUGCUGAGUGAUAGUGUAUUAGUCUCCUGGUUAAUUAAAUGUGAAAACAUUAUACUAAAUACUAGUUGAUUGAUUCUUUUUUUUUUUUAAUCUUCUUGUUAUUUUCCAUGACAUAGCUAAUAUAAAGACUUGUCCCAACUCAUCCCUCUAUGUUCAUUUAAUGUUACUAGUUUUUCUGCCCCAAGGUUGACUUGAUGGUAGGUUAUUUUGAUUAACUUGUAUUUUUGGCCGAAUAUUGACAAAAGCAAUCAGCUCAUGUAACUUACUCUGUUUUCCACUAAAAAUAUAAUCAUUUAUUACCUCUAGUUUAUCAAAUGAUCAUCAUUAAUGCUGCUAGGAAAGCUUUAUUAGUCUUUCUUUUAAUAUAUCAUUACCAAUCUUGCCAACUUUUGCUUAUCUUUUAACGUGGUCUUUGUUUAUAUUUCAUGAUCCCCGAAAUACACGUCAACGCAACCAUUUCCUAUAGCAAAUGUUUUUAACUCUUUUUAAGUUAUUGGAUUGCUGCUUUCCAUGCAUAUAAAUUAUGGAAUAGCUUACUUAAUCUUUCAUUAUCAUCACCAAAUCUCGAAUUGUUUGCAUUAUCUUCUUUUUGAAAAUGCUUCACGAAAUCAAAUUACUAACAGAAGUCAUAAAUGUCCUGCUCCAGCAUUUUCUUAAUCAUCCAACUUUUCUCAGAUUCUCUGAAAAUCCCUUAUACAUUUUCUGGUUCCCUUUUCUUAAUCAUCCUUUUUCUAAACCUUUUUUGCAGAUUUUUCACUGUACUCCCUUUUUUAUUUCUAGCUUUUUCAUUCCUUGCCCUCCUUGUCUCUUAUUUCUUGUUGCGAUUGGUUUUGUUUUCCCCUGUUUUCUCAAAGCAAAAUAAAAAUAAAAUAAAAUAAAAUAAAACAGGAUAAUGGAAAUUGUUACCUCCUUGUCUCUUAUUACCUUCGAGAAGCUGAAGAAUGAUGUUGAUAAACUAAAGAAUGCUAGAGACAGUGUACAGUAUAAAGUAGAUGAUUCCAAAAUCAAAGGGGACGGAAUUCAACAGCACGUUGAGGAGUGGCUGAUUAGUGUGGACGAGGUCAUCAGUGAAGUUAGGAAGCUUACAGAAGUUGAAGAAAAAUCAAACAACCGGUGUUUUAAUGGGUUGUGUCCCAAUUUGAAGACCCACUACCCGCUUAGCAAGAAAGCAGAAAGGGAGGUGAAUGCUAUUGAUGGACUCCAUGAAAAAAGGAAAUUUGACAGCGUUUCUUUCCGUACAAUUCCAGCGGAGAUAUGGCUUAAGUCUACAGAAGGUUUCAUUCACUUUGAAUCAAGAAAAUCCACUUGAAUUCAGACUGUUAUUAUUAGAAGCACAUGUCAUGGGGUCUCUUCACUUAAACUUUUGGUCCCAUCCUCUGGCCUUCUGCCACCUGGAUCUUCGCAGCAACUUUGCUGAGUAAGAUUGAUGAUUGUAGUGCUACGUUAUUUGUCACUUUAGUCUGGAUAUAAAGCUUAAAAUCGUGUCGGAGGGUAAUAAUAUCGGUAAACUUUUGACAAAUCACUGAUCAAUUGAUCUUUUCAAGUCACUUAUAUCGUUUCCAUCGGAUUUGACGCCAUCAAACCACAAAAAUUUAUGUAAAAUUUUUCAAGUAAAAAAACUGUCUUACCCCCAUCACACACGAUCGAAUCUUGGAUCAUGAAUGAGUGAUGUCAAUUACAAUUAAAAGAUUUCAGUCUCAAGACCUUAACCCAUUUAGGUUAUUGAGCGAAUGACUUAUCAAAAUGAGAAAGCUACAAAAUAUGUGACAAUAGGAGGACAGGCUGACAGCAAAGAAAGCCAUCAGCUCUUGCAGUGUAUUCUGUUUCGCACUAAAAAUAUAAAUCAGUGAUCACCUCUAGUUUAUCAAAGUAAUCAUGAUUAAUGCUAUAAGGAAAGCUUUAUUAGUCUUUCUUUAUGAAUCUCGCCCGCUUUUGCUUUUCUUUUAGCAUGGUCUUUGUUUGUAUUUAACGUUCCCCAGUCAACGCAAAGCCUUUAACUAUGAUCUUCUCUUGAAUAGAUCUUCUCUAAUAAAAAGUUGAGAUCCUCUCUUGAAUAGAGUUUACCCUUGAAAAAUAAGUAUACAUUAUCAUUCAUGUACUUUGCCGUGUGUGCUUUCUUGAAAAAUAAGUAUACAUUAUCAUUCAUGUACCCUUGAAAAAUAGAGUUUAAUCACAUAUAUAAGUCGUCAUAUUCACAUAUAUAAGCCGUCAUAUUAUCAUAUAUUACACAAUAAUCAAAGCUAAUUAUUGAAACCUUUCUUUCAAAUGAAAAAAAAAAAUUAUUGAAACCUUCCGUGUUUGAAAAUGCCGGCAGCACUUGCAACUUCCAGGAACCUUCGUGGAAGUGCAGAUGCUGAGUGCAUCCAUCUGUGCGAUUAAAUGCCGAAAUGAUUUCGAGGACCCACACGACCACGCAACAUUUUUUUUUUUUUGUUCAUUUUAUUUGUAUAUCUAUUUGUGGGAAAAAAAAAAAAAAGAAUCAUAAGGUCCGCAAACUUUGGCUUUAUAUCAGAGUAAUUAAUUUUUUAUUUAUUAAUCAUCAACUUAGAUUUUUAAAUUACAACAGUAAUAAAAUAUUUAAUAAAAAAUUACAAAUAAUUAAAGCUGCCGUUAAAAAUGCUUGAAAAGUCUUACGAUUACAUGCUGAAAAAUGUCGGCAUCGGCAUCAUAGCACUUACUAGUAACAAGAAAAUUCAAUGAAAUGCCAAAAUGAUACCUUCCGCCGUCCAAUUAACCUAUAACUUUAACACUAUUUACAUACAAUUAUAACCAUCCAUCUCAGUUAUUAAGAAUCUAUAGUUGACUUGGAUGCAUGAGUCUUCUCCUUGAGAUGGCAACUGUCUGCCUCUGCAUUUUCCUAAUCAUCCCUUUUCUCUAAUCUCUAGAGUUCUCUGAAACCUCUUCUUCAUUUUCUGUCUCCCUUUUCUGAAUCAUCCUUGUCCUCGAUCCUACACCUUCUUUGCAAAUCUUUCAUUGCACUCGCUUUUCAAUUUGUCUUAUCAGAGAAAGGAUCCCCCUUUGUUUCAUCUCUAGACUUUUCACUCUUUUCCUCCCUUCCUCCCUUAAAUCUAUUCAUUUUAGCAAUUUAUCCAAACUUCUUAUUUCCCUCUUCCCACCCGAUUGAUUACUUCUGCUUAGUUUGAUUAGUUUUGCUUUCCCCUGUUUUCUGAAAGAGAAAAAUAAAAAAGAAAGGGACAAUGGAAAUUGUUAUCUCCGUUGCUGCAAAAGUUGCAGAGUACUUGGUUGCUCCCAUAAUUCAUCCAUUUACUUACUGCUGCACCUACAAGACCAACUUCGAGAAGCUGAAUAAUGAAGUCGAUAAGCUAAAGAAUGCUAGAGAAAGUGUGCAGUAUGAUGUUGAUGAUUCCAGAAUUAAAGGGGACGGAAUCCAACACCACGUUGAGGAGUGGCUGAUUGCUGCGAACAAGGAGAUCAAUGAAGUCGAAACACUUAUUGAAGACAAAGAGAAGUCAAACAACCGGUGUCUGAAAGGGUUGUGUCCAAAUUUGAGGACUCGGUACCAGCUUAGCAAGAAAGCAGAACGAGAGGCGAAUGCUCUUGUUAGACUCCGUGAAAAAGGGAGCUUCCGCCGAGUUUCCAUCCGUACAAUUCCAGGGGAGACGUGGCUUAAGUCUACCAUGGAUUUCAUGCACUUUGAAUCGAGAAAGUCCACCUUGAAGGAGAUACUAGAUGCACUGAGCAACCGUAACUUCAACAUGAUUGGAGUGUACGGGAUGGGUGGGAUUGGAAAGACAACGCUGGUGAAAGAAGUUGGCAGACAGGCCAAGGAAAAUAAUCUCUUUGACAAGGUCAUUUCUUCACGCGUUUCUCAAACACCGCAAAUAAAAGAAAUACAAAGAGAAAUUGCAGAGAAGCUGGGCCUGAAAAUAGAUGAAGAGAGUGAAACUGUAAGAGCAUGGAGGCUGCUCGAACAAUUGAAGAAAGAGACGAAGAUCCUGAUAAUCUUGGAUGAUAUUUGGGGGAGUCUCGAUUUGGAGGCGAUUGGAAUUCCAUUGGCAGAUGAUAACGGCGGAUGUAAAGUUCUGCUGACAGCAAGAAGUCAAGAUGUGUUGUCUUGUAAAAUGGAUUGUCAACAAAAUUUUGUUGUUGAUGUUCUGAAUGAAAAAGAAGCUUGGAGUCUUUUCAAGAAUAUGACAGGUGAUUGCAUAGAAAAUGGUGAACUGAAAUCUGUAGCAACAGAGAUAGUCAAGGAAUGUGCUGGUUUGCCCAUUGCCAUUGUACCCGUAGCAAGGGCAUUGAGAAACAAGAGAUUGUGUGAAUGGAAGGAUGCUUUGCUAGAAUUAAAAAGGCAUUCUUUGAUAAGUUUCUCUGGGACACAAGCGGUGGCCGCUUAUUCAACUAUCGAGUUGAGUUACAAUCAGUUAGGAGGUGAGGAACUCAGGAAAACGUUUUUGCUAAUAGGAUACUCCUACAUAUGUAACGUUAAAGACUUGCUUUAUCAUGGCAUGGGUUUGGGUCUGUUUCAAAACAUCAACACGGUGGAUGAGGCACGGGAUAGAGCACAUACAUUGGUUGAUAAACUCAAGAACUCUUGCUUGUUGCUUGAUGGCAGGACAAGUGAACUGUUUUCUAUGCACGAUGUUGUUCGUGAUGUAGCCAUAUCAAUUGCAUCUAGAGACCAACAUGUGUUUGCGGUGGAAAAUGAGAAUGUUCCGCUGACCUGCUGGCCAGAUAAGGAUACACUGAAGGUUUGCACCGCAAUCUCCUUAUUUAAUACUAAUAUUAGUGGGCUUCCUCAAGGGUUCGAGUGUCCGCAACUUAAAUACUUUCGUAUUAGCAAUGUUCCUUCUUUGAGAAUUCCAGAUAACAUUUUUACUGAGAUGACAGAGCUUAGAGUUUUAGAUUUCACUAAGAUGCAUUUGUUGACAUUGCCUUCAUCGCUUGGUCUCUUACAAAACCUUCAAGCAUUGUCUCUGGAUUACUGUAAACUACGAGACAUGGCUAUUAUUGGAGAUCUAAAGAAAUUGGAAAUCCUUACACUUCGAGGUUCUAUUAUGCAGAAACUGGUUGAAGAGAUAGGCCGGCUGACUCAGUUGAGGUUGUUGGAUCUGAGCAACUGUUUCCUUCUAAAAGUUAUUCCACCAAAUGUCAUAUCAAGCUUAUCACGAUUAGAAGAAUUGUAUAUCGGUGAGAGUCCCAUUAUGUGGGGGAAGGUUGGAGGAGUCGACGGUGAAAGAAGAAAUGCCAUCCUUGAUGAGUUGAAUAAUUUAUCUAAAUUGACCUCUUUAGAAAUACUCAUCCAAGAUGAAAAGACUCUACCAAGAGACUUGUCGUUCUUCAAAAUGCUGCAAAGGUACAGAAUAUUGAUAGGAGAUCGGCGGCGGCGGUAUGGCCCAUCGGAUGGGAUUUCUAGAAAAUUCAAACUGAAGCUCACAAAUGGUGCCAACAUUUGCUUGAACGAGGGGCAUAUCAUGCAAUUGAAGCGUAUUGAAGACCUAACUUUAGAUGGAUAGCCGGACAUGAAGAAUGUUCUUUGUGAACCGGGCAGAGAAGUUUUCCACAGCUGAAUCGUCUCGAAAUCCGACGUAAUAGCAACAUUGUUCGUCUUGUUGACACAAUGGAUUGUACGCCAGCUCCGACGACCGCAUUCCCCUUUUGGAGUCAACAUAGAGGUGGAAGGGUGUGAUAAAUUGAAAAAAAGUAUUUCCAUUGGUCAUUGGCGGAGGCCUUCAACAACUUCAGUCCAUUAAAGUGAGUAGUUGCCAAAAUAUGGAAGUGAUUUUUGCUGCCGAGAGAGGAGAUGAAUCCAGCAAUAAUAACGGUUCUGAAGUGAUUGAACUCACUCAAUUGAGGAAACUUGAGCUUCGUUCUCUUCCGCAGCUUACAAGCUUCUGCACAGGUGAUCUGCAUUUUGAAAAGGUACGCAUGCAAGAUUUUUGUAAUUAUUUUUCAAUUCUUACGUACUGAAAAGUAUUUCUACUUUGAGAGUUCAGAGUUUUAUUGUCUUCCUCGCCCUCAUCACUUCGUCUUUUAGUAACAAAAUGUUAGUUCUAUAAAUCAGUUUAUUUAAUUAUACUUUAUAAUAUCCUUACAAACAUAAUUAUUUUCUUUUUUUAUGUCAGUUAGACCGAAUGAAAAAAAAUUAUUUUUUUCCUUCUUGUUCAAUUUUUUUUUUCUCUUAAUUAUCAGAGUUUUUCUUCUUCCUCUACUUUUUAUUUUAUGUCUACAUGUUUAGUUAAAUACACGGAAGAGACAGUGCAUUCGAUUAGCCAAACAAAGAAAAUACUCAUAAGAUCUAGAGUUUUUCAAGCCAUAGUUAAUUCCCUGAAAAUCGUUCAAGAGCUAUUUCCAAAUUAGUACUCCUUAGUACAGUAUUGUUACAUACAAAAUGAUUAUGAAUUUUGAUGUUGAACUAGAAAUUGGUCAUCUCGUGGUAACAUAAAUAAUAUACAGCUGAAAAUACACAUUACUUAAAUGGAAUGCUUUGUUUUUACUUUGUAUUUACAGCUGAAAAUCAUACUCUCUGCGAAUAUGUAUAUAUUUGUCCGGCCAUCAAUAUGCAUCAUUGGAAUGCUUUGUAUUUACUUUAAUUUGUGAAAUUGUAAGAAAGAAGUGUUAACUCCAUCAAUAUGCAUCAUACUCUCUGCGAAUAUGAAAAGCACAUAUGCCUAUUUCCAGAAGACUGGCUUUGCAAACUUAAAUGUCUUGCUGUCCGGCUUGAUGAGUCAAGUACUAUUUUAUCACUUGACAAUUUCCUCCAUAGAUUUCACACCAUCAAAAUUCUCUCUAUAGGAGGGAACAAUAAGGCAGAUUUGGACACAUUAUUUGAAAACUUUGAAAAUUGGAUGAAAGCAGUGAUGAAGGUAAUAAAGCAUCGUCGUGAACUGAAGCAGAUUUUCAAACAAGAGUCAACCAAUACCAACAAUUUGGAAAAGCUGGAGAUAGUCGAGUGUGACAAUUUGACUAAUCUAGUGCCAUCCUCGACAUCCUUUCAGAACCUAACAACUUUGACGGUAUGGGGUUUCUCUAGAAUGAUACACGUACUAACAUCCUCAACCGCAAGGAGUCUGGUGCGACUGAGACAAAUGGAGAUAGGUAUCUGCAAGAUGAUAACAGAAAUAGUGGCAGAUGAGGAUGAUGAGGGAUAUAAUUAUGCAGCAAAAGAUGAAAUUGUUUUCAGCGAAUUAAAGGAAUUGUUGCUUUGGGACUUAAAAUGUCUGACUAGAUUCAGCUGCUCUGGGAAUAAUUGCGCCUUCAAAUUCCCAUCUCUAGAAACAUUACUGGUGGAUCGUUGCCCCAAUAUGAAGAUUUUCUCAGAAGGGGAAUUCAGCACACCCAAGUUACAGAAAGUGCAUCUGAGCGUGUUAGAUAAAAAACUUUGGGCUUGGGAUCGGGACCUUAAUACAACCAUUCAAUACAUAUAUCUUAAAAGAAAAAAGGUAAGUAUUCAUUCACUAUGAGAUGUUGAUUUAUUUUUUUUUUUCUAAAAAUUACUGAUUUAAUAACAGAUAUAUAUAAAAAAGUAAAAAGAAAAAAGUACAUAUUAAUUUUUUUAUAAAUUCAUUUUAAAUCUGAUUAGGAAGAGAAGGAAAAAGAGAAUGAGAAGUCUGCCAAGGCAAAUGAAAAGGAGAAAGAUGCGAAAGACAGUGGUAAGAUAAAAUCUAUACAAUUUGGGAGGUUUUGAUUUGAUUCUAUUUUGCUGACUAAAAAUGUUUUAUUUUUGUUGAAAUUUUUGUUAAAUCAUAUUGGUACAUCUUUUUAAAAUAUAACUACUCUGCUCUGUUGUUAUGUUGAGGAUUAGUUGUUAGACAGACAUAGCGAAAAAAAAAAAAGAAAUUAAUUGCUUACAGAGAGAAUUGAAAGAUUUUGUGUCCUUAAUAGAGGCUAAUUUGUGCAAUUACAUUAUGUGAAAACUGCACCUUCAAUGUGUUUUUACUCUUUGUUUACAGAUAGUCCAAGCUUCUAAAGAGGAUUUCCGCUACUUGUGCAGCAUUUUGGAUAAGGCUCGAGCUCGAGCACUUUCUAUAUAUUAAGAGUUAGAUGGUGUUGGUGAGAGGAUUUUUUGUUUCAGUUUUCAUUCAUUAUUAUGCUCUUAGCUUUGUUUUAGUACUCAGAAAUCCAAUUUGAAGCUAGUUUUAUUUCUUACGGAUGGUGUCCAAGAGCUUGCCAUAUUCAAUUUGUAGGCAUCUGAAAAUCUCUUUAAGCCCUAAUUAAUUAAAGAGAUGUGUGCAUCAUAUUUGUGUUCGUGCACCUAUUGGUAUUUAUUGGAGACAAUUUUGUGAGAAAUUAUGUGAUUUCAUGAAAAUAUCAAGAAUUUAUAUAGAAAAUUAUGGAAAAAUAAAAGUUUAUGGGGUCAAUUGCUCACUGUAGACAACAUGUGGAUCCUCCCUGGAGCCUAGGUGAAGUUGUCGUUUAUUGGUAUUAAUGAUCGCCAUUUUAGUUUAGAGAUUUGAGCCCAAGUUCCUCCAUUUACAUUAUUAUUAAUUAUUUUUGUUGGUGAAAGCUAAUUGAUUAGAAGAAUGCGACAAUAAGAAGAUUAAGUACUUUGCCACUAGCUUAGCUUACUUACAAAUCCACUAGCUUAGCUUAUAAUUAGAUACAUAAAAUCAUCAUCAUCACAAGAUUAUCUCACGUGUAAUAUCAAAGCUAAUUAUUGAAAAGCUUUGAAUGGUCUUCCAAUUUUGAAAAUGCCGGCAGCACUUGCAACUUCCAGGAAACUUCGAUUAUCUGCCAAGCAUAUCAACUGUUCGAUGAAAUGCCCAUGUAGCUGUUCCUAACUUGGGACUUGAGUUUCAUUAAAUUAGCAUCAUCUCACUGAUAUUAUGUAUUAAUGUAAUAAAUGGGCUUUCUUCCUAUUAUCUAAAGUCCAUUGUUAUAUUUCAAUAAUAGAUCAUAAUUAUUAAAUUCUAGUAUAUAUACUACACUCGUAACCUAGAUCAUUAAGAAAUUAGGCUUAAAUAUGAACAAUACUAGCAAGUAAAAAAAAAGUCAGCUGAGACCAAGUGUUUUUUUUUUUCACCCUAAAAAAAAGCACGCAAGCUCUAAUUUUGUAUAUAUUUUAUGAACAAUACUAGCAAGUAAAAGAAUUAUUUAAUGAUUUGAAGCAAGUCAGCUGAGACCAAGUGUUUUUAUUAUUUAGGCAAUUAGAUCAUGAAUGGUAAUCUUUCAUUUGAUCAAUUACCUCAAAAUACUCUCAUUUUACGAAGAACGUCAAAUAAUCAAAACUUAAUCGUCAUUAAUUAAAAGCUACUGUAGAAAGCUUGAACGGUCUUCCAAAUUGCAGGUUGGAAGAUGUGGACGGCAUUAGCAGCUGUCAGGAAUCUUCGUCCAAGUUGCGAGCCACCCGAUCCGAGUCUCAUCAUUUACUAUUUUUUUAAAACCUUUUUUAUUUCAUUUUCGUUUACUUUUGAGAAAAAGGAAAAUGUAAAGAUUGAAUAAGAUAAGAAUCAUUUGUUUGAAAAUUGAAAAAUGAUUGGAAGACUAAAUUAAAAUAAGACACACAAUUGAAUUUUAAAAAAUAUAUAUUGAAAAUGAUAUCGUUCUGGUUCUAAUUUAGAAAAAAAAAAUUCACCUAAAAUGACAUUAUUUUAAGUAUAUUUUUGUCAAUUUUUAAUCAAAUUUUAUUUCAAAUAUCAAUCUUGAAAUUUAGGUGAAGAGUCUAUAAUUAGAAGCACAUGGGUGGAUGGGGCCUCUUCGUUUUAAUUUUUGGCCUUAAUUAGUUUUCUGUGAUAUUUUGUUGACUGAAAAGCCAACGACUCAAGGAGUGGGCCAACUGUUCAAAUAUGUGAUAAGCUUGCGUGGGAGCUGAGGUGGUGGCCAGUGGCACAAUCUACUGGUGCUCGGUUCCGUGAUGGAAUAAACGAAUCCCAUCAUCAUGUAAGAUGGCGGUGAGGGUCUCCAAAGCAACUCGUAAGGAGAAGUAGGCGUGUGGACAUGGACAUGGGAAGGAAUAGUGCCCAAGGAGACGAGCAUGAGACCAGUGAGACGAUCACUCUAAGAAAGAUAGCAAAUGAGGCACAGGAAAGAGUGAUGCAUGAGUGAAUAGAGUGGAUAGAGAAGCAGAUGGAGACCCUCACCGCCAUCUUACAUGAGUUAAGGACGAGCAAAGAAGGGCUUAUGAUGCAAAUGCGACAAGGGAUGAUGUUGCCACAGAGCCCAGUCACCGGAGGAAUACAAAUGAGGAGAUCCCUUCAAUAAGGGGGACAGCUCAACGGGGUGCCUAACAAUAGAGUUGGAACUCAGACUUUGAGAGAGUGUGAGCAUGAAGGGAGAGAUCAAUUCCACAACAGACGAACCUUAGGAAGUUGUAGUAGAGGAGCGAAUGUCGAAGAAAGGGAGCUCAGGUAGCACCUGGUCGGGCCUUGGAACUGGAGGGAGAAAUACUGUGAUUGGCACAAAUAAUAGACGAAAUGCAGGGCAGGAGAAAGCCCCUCAGUUGGAGAAUAAUGCUGGAUGACGAAUGUCGGCUUUCAGCUGAAAUCAUGGGCACUAUGAUACCAAGAUAUUUUCAUUUUCUCAACAUCAAAUACUCAGGAAAAAGUGGCCCGCUGGUGCACGUCGAGCGCUUUAACGACAUGACUGGAGUGUAGGGGCUAACACUAGCGCAGAGGUGCAGAGUAUUCCCUUUGACAUUGGAAGGACGAACACGAGAUUAGUACCUUCCCUUUGACACCGGCAGGGACUUGCAACUUCCAGGAACCUUCGAUUAACCCAAAAAAAAAACACAUAUAGUUUGAAAUUAUAUGAUGAUUGAUAGGAAUGUAUUUUUGUAGUAAUCUUUUAUUUGAUCAUUUAUUUUUUGGUAUUCCGUGAAAGGUGUGCAAAAUUAGAUAAUAUUUCUCUGAAACUGGUAUUCCUUGUGCGAAACAUCACAUGCUGAGAGCUUCGACUAAACUAGUUUCAAUUGUACUUUUACUUACACGCUGCCGCUACAGCUUUGGAAGCGUAAAAUUAUGUGCGCAAUUCCUUCAUUUGAUCAUCUUAACUAAAGAUGUGUGAACUUACCAUUUCUGUGCAUCCCUUGUAUUAUGUGCAACAAUUUUCUGGUGAAUGUGAGAGAUUCUAUUCAAGUUUAUUUUUGUGAUCACGUGCGCACGUCAGGCAUUGCAAGCGUAAAUGCAAAUUAAGUCACCUGAACAUGCAUGCGAUAUAGUAAUUUAUUGUUAUUAUCAAUUAUUCCAUUCUUUUCUUUCGAAACUAAAUUUCAACUACUUGAGAUGUGAAAUUCUUAAUAGCAGAUAUUCUUUGUAUAUGUAUGAUCGGAUCCUGAGUACAGGGCACCUGCUGUCUCUGUUUUUAAUUGAAGCAUGUUUUUCGGCUUGAAAAUUCAUCUCAUCAGAUUAAGUGGUUUGAAGUCGAACGCUUGGCUCACAAAAUGUUGGUCAUUGAGAAAGCAAGUGGGCUGGAUGUUAUCUGGACUCGACCUCCUAAAUAAUAACACAACUAACUGAGUCUAUUCAGAUUUCGUCUCAUAUUUGACUGGCAAUAGCACAUCAAAAGUCUUGUGAGAGUCACCUCGUAUUGAUGUGCUUAAUUUACAAAGAUCAAAACCAGUAUCACGUUGCUUUAGUAAUUUGAAUUUGUGUUGGACUGAGUCGACAAAAAAGUCCUUCACCUCGUACUGAUAAUACAUUUAAAUUACAAAGAUCGAAAGCAGAUCUGUCAUUACAUGAAUUGGCUGUAUAAAAUAAUCAACUCACUUCUUAUUGUCAUCCGUUCUAUCAGCUCUUCGCAUUGGUCCUUUUCUUGUUUCCGUUUUCGUCUGAAAAAAACCUUCGCUUCUGUUAGUUUUUUAAUCUCACUUUCCUUUGGCCUCCUUCACUUUUAGAUUGUUAUCUGCUUACUCUACGAUUAAUGCCAUCUUUGAUGAUAUCAAGGCAGAAACAGAGAAGCAGAAGAGUGAAAGUACGGGCAUUCAGCGCGGAGUUUCUGAGACGAAAGCAAAAGGGCAAGAGAUUGAAGUGAAGGCUGAGAACAGUGCGGAACUAGAUCACUACUCAAGUCUCUCACUAAUCUCCUAAAUGGUUGUUUUUGCUUCCAUAGGCUACACUGGUUGGUUCUAAUCACAAAUUUGAGGAUUCUGCUGGAAACAUGUUGUUCAAAAAAUUGCACAAUUCAAUCUUUACUGUGGCUACCCAGACCGAAAUAAGUGCUCUGUUUGGUUUCACUUUGAAUUGUGCAAUUUUUUUAACAGCUUCCAGCAAGAUCCUCAAUUUGUGAUUAUAACCAACCACUGUAAUCUAUAGAAGGAGAAAUCAUUUAGGACAUCAGUGAAAGAUUUGAGUAAUGAUUAUUCUCACCCACACAUUCAUCAAUUUUUCAUCCAGGCUCAAUUUACAAAAUUAUUAGCGGGUUGCUACCUCGAUUAUGUUGACAGAAAAUAGAGGUUUGUAGGCAAACAAAGAGCAUUGUUAUUUGAACAGCUGCAAGAUAUUCGGAAGACAUGCAGAAAUAUGGGUAUUGCUUAUGCUAUAGUGCCAUUGCAGCAUAAAAUUGACAGCACAAAUAUCAUUUUCCACAAACAAAACAUGUAAUAGCACGCUCCAGGAGCAGUUUCUUACACUCUUGAAGUUGCCUACAAUAAGAUCAAAUCCAACAUUCUCCCUCAAUUUAGUGUUCUAAAACUGAUUUAUAUUUUAACAUAGAAAUCCAAUCUAAAAGCACUAUUAACGAAAGCUCUUCGUGUAAUCGUGUUUGCAUUAAAAACCAAGAAGCAGCUUUUUUUUUUUGUGGGGGAGGGGGGAGAACCUCAGUCUAAUAAGAUAAAAUUACUUUGGGUGGGUUAUUUACAUUCUAGAAAAAAAAAAAUUUCUGAACACUACUAUACUUUAUUGGCUCAUCUAGUAAAUUUUAAAUUUUUAUUUUUAUUUUGUAUACUCUAUUAAAUGUCAAAAAAAAAAAAAAAUCAUCACACAAAACGAGGAUUCAUGAAAACCAUCUAUGUAGCAUCUGAAAUGAGGCCAUUUUUUUCUGUAUAAUUUGUGAGGCAUUAUAUUAUAUGGAGCUUGACUUCUUUCUCUUUAUCAAGGGUAAGAUGGCGUUGGCGAUCAAGAGGGUCCCCCUGUUUCUUUGUUUUCAUUAAUAUUACUUCGAAUCCACUUUCAGGUUGAGUGUCUAACGAUUUGAUUAAAUUUGUGUUUAGUUAAAUGUAUUGGAUUUCUGGAGUAUUUUGGUAGUUAAUGAUGAAACUCGGCAUUAGAUGAACUUACAGUCAUUCUAAUGAUAAAUUUUUUUGUCAUCGAAAGUCAUUGAGUAUUAUUGCGGCAGUAAGCUACAUUGAAGUAGCAUUCCAUAUAUAACUAUCAGUAAUUAUUCUGGGUAUUCAACGUGAAUGAAACCUCUAUUACAAUAGUGAAAUGAAUUGAAGUUUUAGUGGAGCUCUGUUUAAUCAAAUCGUGGGAAAUAAAUUUAGUAGCAGAACUGGGAAAUUAUUAGUUGCUCCGUCGAGUCAACCCAAAAAAAUCAUAACAAUGACUGAAAUCAUUUAUAGAACUAAACACAAAUUUAAUCAAAUCAUUAAACGUGUACGUGAUUGCCGCUGGUAUUAAAAUGAAAACAUUUAGUUCACACGUACAUCACUCAGCGUUUGGAAUUCGUCAUUUGGGUCCUCACGUGUAUGCAUCACGUGCACCACUCAUUCUGAGUUUCUGACCAAGUCAAAGUUCAAUUAAAAUUCUUUGCAGCAGGAAGGUGGUGUGGUGAGUAACUCACUCAACUUGUGAACCGUGAUUAGUCAAAUAACCAAGUACACGUGGCAUAAUGAAACGCUUCGAAGAGUAACCUCUGAAGGUCUGUCGAGUAUGAUGACAUGGCAGCAACGUUUUACAUGUAAGCAUGGUAGUGAUCGCGUAGAAGCUGUGUAUGAAACCUCUUAUAACAUUCCUUCAUCUGUCAAGUCAAAUUUUCCUCGGAGUCAAGAAAUGGAGAACUAACAGGUAUGCAUUUCUUAAACCAUUAUUAUAUUCAAAAACAAGGAUUCGUAUAAAUACAAAUUGAAUGGCAAGAAUAGGAAUGAAAUCAUCCACAGAAAUAAACACAAAUUUAAUCAAAUCAUUAAACACUCUUGCUCGAAGUUUUCUUCUUUGCUGAUUCUUUGUUUUGUUCAUUGUUUGAUCAUCGACUCCUGUUAAGCUUUGUGUCACUUCUUGUUUGGGAUCUUUUCUUGGGUCCUUCAAGAUUUUGUUCUUGGUUCAAUUGAGCUUUGGAAUAGCCAUUACAUCCAGGAUAUAUUUUAUUAACAACUAAUUUCUAACAUUUGUUUAUCCUCAAUUGAUAUCAGUAACACUCAAAUCUAUCCGAAAUUCUUUACAAUCCCUAAUAUAUUUAAAAGGGUUUAAUUUUGACAUUUUAAUAACUUCCAUUAGGCCAAGCAUAUUUAGUUUCUUGAAGAUUUAUUCCUGAAAAAUCCAGCCUGAUUUUUUUUUAACGUUCUUUUAUAUUUUAUUAACAACUAAUUUCUAACAUUUGUUUAUUAAUCAAGAUAGAGUUCGAGUUUAAUGACAAAAUGAUCAUGAUUUUAAUUUAAAGAUAUGAGCCCAAAAUCCUACUGUUUACAUAUUAAAAUCACUUGAUUAUCAUAUAUUACUCAAUAAUCACUUGAUUAUUUGAAAAAUGCCGGCGGCACUUGCAACUCCCUGGAACCUUCGGUGUAAGUUUUCGAGUACAUCAACUGUUGGAUAAAAUGCCCAUUUGAAGAAACUAAUAGAAAAUUGAGAUCCUCUCUUGAAUAGAGUUUACCCUUGAAAAAUAAGUAUGCAUUAUCAUUCAUGUAUUGUCAAAAUUUGAGCUUAAGAUCCAACUAUUUACAAAUUAUUAAUUAUUUUUGUUGGUGAAAGCAAAUUGAUUAGAAGAAUGUGGCAAUAAGAAGAUAAAAAUGCUUGCUCAAAUACUUUGCCGUGUGUUCUUACUUACAAAUCCACCAGCUUAGCUUUUAAUCACAUAUCAAGCUUAUCACGAUUAGAAGAAUUGUAUAUCGGUGAGAGGCCCAUUAUGUGGGGGAAGGUUGGAGGAGUCGACGGUGAAAGAAGAAAUGCCAGCCUUGAUGAGUUGAAUAAUUUAUCUAAAUUGACCUCUUUAGAAAUACUCAUCCAAGAUGAAAAGACUCUACCAAGAGACUUGUCGUUCUUCAAAAUGCUGCGAAGUUACAGGAUAUUGAUAGGAGAUCACCGGUGGUCGGGUGGCCCAUCUUAUGGGACUUGUAGAAUAUUCCGACUGAUGCUCGCCAGUGGUGCCAACAUUUGCUUGAACGAGGGGCAUAUCAUGCAAUUGAAGGGUAUUGAAGACCUAUGUUUAGGCGGAUCGCCGGACAUGAAGAGUGUUCUUUAUGGAUCAGACGGAGAAGGUUUUCCACAGCUGAAGCGUCUCCAAAUCGAACAUAAUGGCAACCUUUCUUGUGUUGUUGACACAAUGGAUUGUACGCCAGCUCGGACGACUGCAUUCCCCCUUUUGGAGUCAUUAUUUCUGAGAGAUUUAAGGAACCUUGAGGAAAUAUUUUUUUAAAAAAGAAAUUUGUAAGAUUUUCAAUUCAAACCAAAUAAACGGAUCAAUUAAAAGAAUCUCAAAGUUUAAAUGGAAUUUGAGAAUAAUUGAAGUCUUUUUCAUAGAGAUUAUGCACAAAUCUAAUAAAAUUUGAAAAUCUAUCUACCGGACAAGAGUUAAGAAGAGAGAAUGGAAGAAAAUACGCAUUACUUAAAUGGAAUGCUUUGUUUUUACUUUGUAUUUACAGCUGAAAAUCAAACUCUCUCCGCAUAUCUAUUAAUUUGUCCGGCCAUCAAUACGCAUCAUUGGAAUGCUUUGUAUUUACUUGAAUUUGUGAAAUCGUUAGAAAGAAGUGCUAACUCCAUCUUGCCACUUUUGUGAUUGAUGAUCACCCAGGUGUUCCCCAAUUUGGAAAAAUUGAGGGUUGAUCAAAAGCACAUAAGCCUAUUUCCAGAAGAUUGGCUUUGCAAACUUAAAUGUCUUGAUGUCUGGCUUGACGAGUCAGGUACUAUUUUAUCACUUGACGAUUUCCUCCAUAGAUUUCACACCAUCAAAAUUCUCUAUGUAGGAGGAGACGAUUAUGUUUUGUACACAUCAUUUAAAAACGUUGAAAAUGGGAUGAAUGCAAGGAUGAGAGGGAUAAACCAUCGUCGUGAACUGAAGCAGAUUUUCAAACAAGAGUCAACCAAUACCAACAAUUUGGAACAGCUGGAGAUAGUCGAGUGUGACAAUUUGACUAAUCUAGUGCCAUCCUCGACACCGUUUCAGAACCUAACAACUUUGAAGGUAAGUGGUUGCCCUGGAAUGAUAAACGUUCUAACAUCCUCAACAGCAAGGAGUCUGGUGCGACUGAGACAAAUGCGGAUACAAUCAUCCAAGAUGAUAACAGAAAUAGUGGCAGAUGAGGAUGAUCAGGGAGAUAAUUAUGCAGCAAAAGAGGAAAUUGUUUUCAGCGAUUUAAAGGAAUUGAUUCUUUGGAACUUAGAAAGUCUGACUAGUUUCAGCUGCUCUGGGAAUAAUUGCGACUUCAAAUUCCCAUCUCUGGAAACAUUAGUGGUGGAAGAUUGCCCCAAUAUAAAGAUUUUCUCACGAGGAGAAUUAAGCACACCCAAGUUACACAAAGUGCAGAUGAGCCUAGUCGAUGAAAAACUUUGGGCUUGGGAUCGGGACCUUAAUACAACCAUUCAAUACGUAUAUCUUAAAAGGAAAAAGGUAAGUAUUCAUUCACUAUGAGAUGUUGAUUUUUUUUUUCUAAAAAUUAAUGAUUUAAUAACAGAUAUACAUAAAGAAGUAAAAGGAAAAAAGUACAUAUUAAUUUUUUUAUAAAUUUAUUUUAAAUCUGAUUAGGAAGAGGAGGAACAAGAGAAAGAGAUGUCCGCCAAGGUGAAUAAAAAGGAGAAAGAUGCAAAAAACAGUGGUAAGUUAAAAUCUAUAUAAUUUGGGAGGUUUUGAUUUGAUUCAAUUUUGCUGACUAAAAAUGUUUUAUUUAUGUUGAUUUUUUUGUUAAAUCAUAUUGGUACAUCUUUUUAAAAUAUAACUACCCUACUCUAUUGUUAUGUUGAGGAUUAUUUGUUAGACAAGACAUAGCGAAAAAUUAAAAAAUUAAUAAAUGAAAUUAAUUGCUUACAGAGAGAAUUGAAGGAUUUCUGUGUCCUUAAUAGAGGUUAAUUUGUGCAAUUUAAUUAUGUGAAAACUGCACCUUCAAUGUGUUUUUACUCUUUGUCUACAGAGUCUCCAAACUUACGAAGACGAUUUCCGCUACUUGUGCAGCAUUUUGUAUAAGGCUCGAGCUCGAGUUCGAGUUCUUUGUACCUAUUAAGAGUCAGAUGGUGCUGGUGAGAGGAUUUUUUGUUUCAGUUUUCAUUCAUUAUUAUGUUUUUAGCUUUGUUUGAGUACUCAGAAAUCUAAUUUGAGGCUAGUUUUAUUUCUUAUGGAUGGUGUCCAAGAGCUGCCAUAUUCAAUUUGUAGGCGGAUCGCUGGACAUGAAGAGUGUUCUUUACGGAUCAGACGGAGAAGGUUUUCCACAGCUGAAGCGUCUCGAGGUCGUAGAAAAUAGCAACCUUUUAUGUGUUGCCGACACAGUGGAUAGAGCAACAGCUCCGACGACUGCAUUCCCCCUCUUGGAGUCAUUAUUUCUGCAAGAUUUGAGUAACCUUGAGAAAAUAUGUCGCGGUCCACUCUCGGCAGAGUCUUUUUGCAAAUUAAAGAGCAUAAGUGUGGGAGGUGCGAUAAAUUGAAAAAUGUAUUUCCAUUGGUCAUUGGCAGAGGCCUUCAACAACUUCAGUCCAUUAAAGUGACUGGAUGCCAGAAUUUGGAAGUGAUUUUUGCUGCCGAGAGAGGAGAUGAAUCCAGCAAUAGUAACACGCAAGUCAUUGAACUCACUCAAUUAAGGACACUCAAACUCCGUUCUCUUCCGCAGCUUACAAGCUUCUGCACAGGAGAUCUGCAUUUUGAAUUUCCAUCAUUGGAAAAAUUAACAAUACUGGAAUGUCCCCAAGUGAAAUUUAAAAGCACUAUUCAUGAGUCCACCAAGAAGGAACGUGCAAGACUUUUGUAAUUAUUGUUCAAUUCUUACGUACUUAAAAGUAAUUCUACUUUCAGAGUUUAGAGUUUUAUUGUCAUCAUCGUCGCCCUCAUCACUUUGUCUUUUGGUAACAAAAUGUUAGUUGUAUAAAUCAGUUUAUUUAUACUUCAUAAUAUCCUCAUAAACAUAAAUCAGUUUAACAAAAUGUUAGAAAACAAUUUUUUUUUUUAAUUCUAGUUCAAUUGUUUUCUCUUAAUUAUCUGAGUUUUUCUUCUUCCUCUAUUUUUUUACUUUUUUUUUAUGUCUAUAUGUUUACUUAAUACACGAAAGAGAGAGUGCAUUUGAUUACCCAAACAAAGAAAAUUCUAAUAAGAUUUAGAGUUUUUCAAGCCACAGUUAAUUCCCAGAUAAUCUUUUAGGAGCUAUUUUUAGAUUAGUAUGCCUUAACAAUUAAUAUUGUUACAUACAAAUGAUUAUCAAUUUUGAUGUUGAAGAAGAAAAUGGUCAUCUCGUGUUAACAUAAAUAAUAUUCUUAAAAAUAUAUAUAGAGAGAUGAACAAAACUCAAAUGAAGAAAUCUUGUCCUAUUAAAUUUUCUGCACAAUAAAAUCCUUUCUUGUACAAUAGUGAAUAUAUCCAAUCCCGUUGGGUUGGAUGAAUAUUAAUGAAAUACGAGCUUCUUACUAUAUUAUUAAACUUUUUAAAUUCAAGUUAUUUAUUCAUUUUUGCUUUUGUUAAAAAUAAAAUAAAAGUUAAAAUAUCCUUUUUUUAAAAAAAAAGAAAUUUGUAAGAUUUUCAAUUCAAACCAAAUAAACCGAUUGAUUAAGAGAAUCUGGAAGUUUAAAUGUAAAUUGAGAAUAAUUGAAUUCUUUUUCGUAUGAUAUAUAUAUAUAUAUAUAUAUAUAUAUAUAUAUAUAUAUAUAUAUAUAUAUUUAUUUAUUUAUUUAUUUAUUUAUUUAUUUAUUUAUUUAUCUGGCCAUCAAUAUUAUUCAUCAUUAGAAUGGUUUGCAUUUACUUUGAUAUGUGAAAUUUUCACAAAGAAGAUCAACUCCACCUUGUUUUUUCUGUGAUUGUUAGAAAGAUCAUAUGCUACACACUCACACACAUAGAGACACACAUGAACGAUAGGCCAUCAAUAUUCAUCACCGGAAUGCUUUGCAUUUACUUUAAUUUGUCAAAUUGUUAAAAAGAAGAUCUAACUCCAUCUUGCUUUUUUUUUUUCUUUUUUUGAUUGGUAAUCACCUAGGUGUUUCCCAAUUUGGAAUAUUUGAGUGUUCAUGAAAAGCAAAUAGGUCUAUUUCCAGAAGACUUGCCUUGCAAACUUAAAUGUCUUAAUGUUUGGGUUGAUGGGUCAACUGCUAUUUUAUCACUUGACGAUUUCCUUCAGAGAUUUCACACCAUCAAAGUUCUCUGUAUCGAAGGGUACGAUUAUGAUGGGGAAGAACUAUUUGCAACGGUUGAAAAUGGGGUGAAUGCAAGGAUAAGGGGAAUAAACAUACAUCCUGAUCUGAAGCAGAUUUUGAAACAAGAGUCCUCCCAUGAGAACAAUUUGGAAGUACUGGAGAUAUAUGGAUGUGGCAAUUUGAUUAAUCUAGUGCCAUCCUCGACAUCGUUUCAGAAUCUAACAACUUUGGUCGUAGAUUGUUGCGAUGGAAUGAUAAACAUACUAACAUCCUCGACAGCAAAGAGUCUGGUGCGACUAAAACAAAUGAAGAUAUUUGACUCCAAGAUGAUAACAAAAAUAGUGGCAGAUGACGAUGAUGAGGGAGACAAUUAUGCAGCAAACUAUGAAAUUGUUUUCAGCGAAUUGAAGGAUUUGCUGCUUUCAGACUUAGAAAGUCUGACAAGUUUCUGCUCUGUCAAUAAUUGCGCCUUCAAAUUCCCAUCUCUAGAAAGAUUAGUGGUGGAAGAUUGCCCCAAUAUGAGCAUUUUCUCAGGAGGAGAAUUAAGCACACUGUAACGACCUUUUAUUUUUGACAAUAUUUUAUUUUGGGAUUAUUUCCAUAAGCUAUUUUUUAGGUGUUUUGAAUUACUGUUUUUGUUAUUUAAAAUUGUUUGGAGUGUUUUCUUCCAAAAAGGGUGGCUUAAUCAGUGUGGGCUCUUUGGCUCUGACUUUUAAAGAAGCGGGUUGGCUGCUGUAAAGGAAAAAAAAGUUAUCAAUAAAAAAUCAGAUUUUUAGUCAAAUUAGUGUUUCUUCUUCCUGGCUGUUUCAUUGGUACCAGAGCAGCGAACUAGCACCGUAAAAAAUGGCGGAGGGAACUAGAGCACACGAUCAGCGACGUCUAGAAGAAUCGGUACAUCAAUUGCAAGAGGCUUCUAACCAGCAGGCAAUUGAAUUGAAGGAGUUUUCUCAGAUGAUGACAGCGAUCAGUCUCAAACUUGAUCAUAUGAUGGGCACAUCAGGGGCUUCAGGAACAAGAACGGGUCGAACUCUGGUAUGUAUAACUCACAGAUGAGAUUUUCAAAAUUGAAUUUUCCAACAUUUGAGGGAGAAAAUCCUAGUGGUUGGGUCUACAAGUGUGAACGGUUUUUCAAAUACAAUGGGGUGGAAGAAUCUGAUAUGGUGGGAUUGGCAACCAUUCAUUUGGAAGGAAAAGCGUUAGAGUGGUUCCAAGGAUAUGAGGUGGCUGUUGCAGAACCUAGUUGGAGGCAGUUUUCUACGGAUUUAAUGGCGCGGUUCAGUCCGAGUACCUAUGAUAACCCAGUUGGACAGCUCAGUAAGUUAAGGCAGACUUCAACAGUAAGCCUUUACCAAGAACAAUUUGAAGCAUUGGUGGCCAGAACUUGAGGAUUACCGGAAGAUUUUUUUGUGCAAUGCUUUGUGAGCGGAUUGAGAGAUGCCAUAAAGAAUCAGGUAGCCAUGUUUCAGCCGAAAAUGCUAAUUCAAGCAGUUGGGUUAGCCUUGUUACAAGAGAGUACCUUGGAGGCAAUGAUCAAAGAAGCCAAGGCUUCAACAAGGACAAUGUCCUCCCAUGUAAUCCCUACAGCAGAAUCGAAACGCAAUUCUAUGGGACAAAUUCCUCCAAUCAAAAGAAUAUCUGAUGUAGAAAUGCAAGAGAGGAGGGCUAAGAAGUUGUGCUACUACUGCGACAAGAAGUUUGAACCAGGGCACAAAUGUAAACGGCGGCAGAUUUACUUGUUGGAAGGAGAAGAUGAUGAAGAACUCAGUGAUGAAGGUAACAAAAUUGGGGAUGAUGAAGAGGAUCAUUUGGUGUCUCUCCAUGCUAUGUCUGGGGCUGUCUCUCAUCAAACUAUGAGGAUUAAAGGAAAUAUAAAGAAGAAGGGAAUUAUCAUCUUAAUUGAUUCUGGUAGUACUCAUAAUUUCUUGGAUGUGUCGGUGGCCAAGCGGACAGGAUGUGAAGUACAGCAAGAUAAACUAUUAAUGGUGGCAGUGGCUAAUGGCUCCAAAAUUGCUAGUGCUGCAACGUGUAAGCAAUUGGUCUGGAGUAUGCAAGGGAGAGAGUUCAGAGCAGAUAUGAGACUGAUUCUGUUGGGGGGAUGUGAUAUGGUAUUAGGAAUUCAAUGGUUAUCUUAAUUGGGCCCAAUAUUGUGGGAUUUCAAGAAUUUAUGGAUAGAGUUCAAGUGGGAAGGAAGAAGAAUGGUGUUAAAGGGUUCUACGGCGGGGCCCUUGAAGCUAGUUUCGGCAGUCCAUAUGCAAAAGGAUCUGAAACAAGUUCCUCAAGUUGCUGCUGCCCAUAUCUUUUCACUCUUAUUAUAGCCAUGUAUUAACUCUACUACUACAGAAAUCAUUACAGAUGAACCAGCAGAGUUGCAACAUUUAUUAAAAAAAUAUCAUGGCGUAUUUAUGGAACCAAAAGGUUUGCCACCACCAAGGGCUCAAGAUCAUCGAAUUCCCUUGUUACCUGAUAGUGUUCCUCCAAAUAUAAGACCCUAUAGGUACCCAUAUGUGCAGAAGGUAGAGAUUGAACGAAUGAUUAAGGAGUUGCUCGCGGCGGGGAGUAUACAGAGGAGUGUAAGUCUGUUUUCUUCUCCGAUUCUCUUAGUUAAAAAAAAGGAUGACACUUGGCGCAUGUGUGUGGAUUAUCGUGCCCUUAAUUCUAUCACUAUUAAGGAUAAAUUUCCCAUACCUAUUAUUGAUGAGCUGCUGGACGAGUUACAUGGAGCUAACUUUUUCUCUAAGCUGGAUUUGCGGUCGGGAUACCACCAGAUUAGAGUACACCCAGAUGACAUCUUUAAAACUGCCUUUAGAACUCAUGAAGGGCACUAUGAAUUCUUGGUCAUGCCUUUUGGUCUUACGAAUGCUCCAUCAACAUUCCAAAGCCUUAUGAAUGAAAUUUUUCAGUCAUUCCUGAGGAAAUUUGUGCUGGUAUUUGUUGAUGAUAUCUUAGUAUAUAGUAAAAAUUGGGUUGAGCACAUGAAGCAAUUGGAGUUAGUACUGGAGACGCUUCUCAAAAAUCAUCUUUUUGUCAAAAAAUCAAAGUGUUCUUUUGGCAAAGAACAAGUAGAAUAUUUGGGACAUUUGAUUUAUGAGCAAGGAGUUGCUACUGACCCUGCAAAGAUUGAAAGCAUGAAGUGUUGGCCAUCUCCCAACUUGUUGAAGGCGUUGCGUGGGUUUUUGGGUCUUACUGUGUACUACAGGAGGUUUACAAAAGAUUAUAGGAAGAUUAGUCGGCCCUUAAUAGAUUUGCUUAAAAAGGAUAAUUUUUUAUGGAAUCAUACUGCGGAAGAAGCUUUUAAUAACUUGAAGUCAGCAAUGUGCACAGCACCUGUUUUAGCCAUGCCCGAUUUCUAAAAAACCUUUGUUCUUGAAUGUGAUGCAUCAGGGGAAGGCAUAGGAGCAGUGCUUUCGCAGGAAGGCAGACCCAUAUCAUAUUUGAGUAAGGCACUGUCACCAAAAAACUUGGGCUUGUCUGCUUAUGAAAAUGAAAUGUUGGCAGUAGUGUUCGCAGUGCAAAAAUGGCGGCCUUACUUACUAGGGAAGCAUUUCAAGGUUAUUACUGAUCAUUUCAGCUUGAAAUACAUGUUGGAGCAGCGCAUAUCAACAUCUAUGCAGCAGAAAUGGCUUACUAAGUUAAUUGGUUAUGAUUUUGAAAUUAUUUUCAGAAGUGGAAGAGAAAAUAAAGUGGCUGACGCCUUAUCUCGGCUACAAGAAUCCACUGAGAAUGCGAUGGUAAUGGCGAUCUCCCUUCCUAUAGGUGUGUGGGUGGAACAACUCAAACAAGAAUGGCAACAGGAUUCAGAAAUUCAGAAAUUGAUUCAAGAAAUAGUUACCAACAGUGCUCGACAUUCUAAAUUUACUUGGGAAAACAAUUUACUCAAGUAUAAGGGAAGACUUUGGGUUGGCAAACAUUCAGCUUUAAAGCAGCUAAUUAUGUCUGAGGCUCAUGGUGGAACAGAAGGUGGGCAUUCGAGGGUUAGAAAAACCUUAGACAGAGUUAAACGGUCUUUUUAUUGGAAAAGGAUGCGAAGGGAAAUUUGUUCCUUUGUGGAAGCUUGUGAUAAUUGCCAACGAAAUAAACAUGAAAAUGUGUUAUCUCCAGGUCUGUUGCAGCCAUUACCAAUUCCUGAGCAUAAUUGGACUGAUAUCUCUAUAGAUUUCAUAGAAGGACUGCCAAAGUCUAGUGGUAAGCAAAUUAUUUUUGUGGUGGUGGAUAGGCUGAGUAAGUAUGCACACUUCAUGCCCUUAAGUCAUCCAUAUACUGCUCUUGAUGUUGCACAACUUUUUCUAGAUAAUGUGUAUAAGUUGCAUGGCUUGCCAAAUUCUAUUGUUAGUGACCGAGAUAAAGUCUUCACUAGUAUUUUUUGGCAAAGUUUGUUUUCCUUGUUGAAUGUGAACUUGUUAAUGACCAUUGCAUACCACCCGCAGACCGACGGUCAGACUGAAGUGGUUAACAAGUGCUUAGAAUAAUAUUUGCGAUGCAUGACAGGUGAUAGGCCGAAAGAAUGGGUGAAAUGGCUUCCUUUGGCUGAAUGGUGGUAUAAUACUUCUUAUCAUUUAUCAACUCGAAUGACACCGUUCGAAGUUGUUUAUGGUAGGCCACCUCCUUCGUAUAUUGCUUAUGUUCCUGGUACAUCUACCGUAGUAGCUGUUUAUUUGAGCUUAAAGGAUAGAGAUGCUAUGAUACGUUUUUUGAAAGCCAAUUUGGUGGAUGCACAAGCUCGAAUGAAGCUAUAUGCUGAUAAAAAGAAAUCCGAGAGGAAAUUUGAGGUGGGAGACGUGGUAUUUCUACGGUUACAGCCUUAUAAACAAGUAAGCUUGUCAAUUCACAGCAAUAGGAAGUUGUCUCCGAGAUUCUAUGAGCCUUAUAAGGUUAUACAAAAGAUUGGACAGGUUGCCUAUAAGUUAGAGUUGCCUAGAGAGUCCAAAAUUCAUCUUGUCUUUCAUGUUUCGUGUUUAAAGAAAAAAGUUGGAGAGGUUGUCACUCCGAUUACAGAGUUACCAACAAUACGAGAAAACGGGCACCUACAGUUAGUACCUGAUUCUGUUUUGGACAGGAGAGUAGUCCAGCGAAGCAAUCGUCCGUACGUGCAGUGGUUGGUUCAGUGGUCUAACUCCUUUCCCGAAGAUGCAACUUGGGAGGAUGCAGUUAAGAUUUAGGAGAAGUUUCCUUUGUUCAAGCCUUGAGGUCAAGGUUUUUUCUAAAAGGGGAGGGAAUGUAACGACCUUUUAUUUUUGACAAUAUUUUAUUUUGGGAUUAUUUCCAUUAGCUAUUUUUUAGGUGUUUUGAAUUACUGUUUUUGUUAUUUAAAAUUGUUUGGAGUGUUUUCUUCCAAAAAGGGUGGCUUAAUCAGUGUGGGCUCUUUGGCUCUGACUUUUAAAGAAGCGGGUUGGCUGCUGUAAAGGAAAAAAAAAGUUAUCAAUAAAAAAUCAAAUUUUUAGUCAAAUUAGUGUUUCUUCUUCCUGGCUGUUUCACACACCCAAUUUACGCAAAGUGCAGUUGAAGAGGUUUGAUGAAAGAGUUUGCGUUUGGGAUCGCGACCUUAAUACAACCAUUCAAUACCUAUAUCAACAACAAAGGUACGUGUUCAUUCACUAUGAAAUGUUGAUUUUUUUUCUAAAAAUUAUUGAUUUAAUGACAAAUAUAUAUAUAAAAGGAAAAAGAAAAAAGUGAUUAUUAAUGUUUUUAUAAAUUUAUUUUAAAUCUGAUUAGGAAGAGAGGGAAAAAGAGAAUGAGAAGUUUGCCAAAGUGAAUGAAAAGGAUAAAGAUGCGAAAGACAGUGGUAAGUUAGAGUCUAUACAGUUUGGGAGGUUCUGAUUUGAUUUUGUUGUGUUGACUAAAAAUAUUUUAUUUAUAUUGAAAUUUUAGUUAAAUCAUAUCGGUAUAUCUUUCUAAAAUAUAACUACUCUGCUCUAUUGUUAUUGUUGAGUGUUAGAAAAUACAUAUUUAUAAAGGAGAAAACCGUCAUUUUACAUUUCAAGUCUUAUUAACAACCCUUACUUUUAUGUAUUUAACCUUCUUGUGAUUUAAUUACAUGUGUUUUAUUUUAAUUAAGUAUUUUAUGUAUUUUAGGGGCAUUAUAGUCAUUUCACAAUAAAGGAGAGAUCAGAUGGCAAAACGGACAUCACUUUUGAACUCAGGACGGUCGAAAACCUUAGGAGGGGCAUAAAAGGAAAAAUGGCACUAUUCACAUGUACGGUACUAUUCACGUAUACGGUACUGUAUAUGCUACUGUUCACGGCACUGUUCACAUAGACGGAUCGAUGACGUUGCAUUGAUCGAUGACGUGGCAUUGACCGAUGACGUGGCAUUGACCGAUGAUGUGGCAUUGACUGAUGAGCUGUCACGAUCCUGUUGGACUAAAAUUCUUAUGUACUGUUGAUGGUGACGUGGCAGCAUAUCAGUGGAUGAAAAAUCUCGCGUACGGUGCAUGCAUCACACAGGAUUAUUUUCAACCAAACCGCGUUACUGUUCAUCCGGGUCAAACCGUGUUACUGUUCAUCCGCGUGGUCAAACCGUGGACUGUUGACUGAUGACGUGGCGCAAUCCUGAGCGUCCAAACUGUUUUUAAUCCGAUGGCCAUGAUUUACUCCAUGUAUCUAUAAAAAGGGGGCCUCCCCCCCCUAAUUUGAUAUCUCUGAAUCCAUUUUUGGGAUCCAUUUUCUGUAAUUCCCUCUCCAUCUUGUAUUUUCUUUGCAUUUUAAUAAAUUCCCAUUUUGCCCCUAGUUCAAUUAUGAGUAGCUAAUUUCUUUUCAAGCUUGGGUUGAAGGUGAAGUCUCAACAUGUGUCAUGGGCUUUAUUUGGUAAAUUUAUUUUCUUUUCCCCUCUAGUUUUUGUGGAUGAUUUGACUUAUCGUCGACAAAUAAUACUGAUCUUGUCUAGAUACCGCCUUGGUUACACCGGCUCUCUAGUAUAAGGUUAUUAUUAUUUGGCACGAUAAGCCCUUAGCACCAUAUUGAUUAGAGCGUGGUUCAUGAGGUGUGGAUUCCCCCCUCAUGAUUUAAUUGGCAUUAAUAAGGAAUAUUUAGCCCAUGAUGCAUGUUGAUACGGAUCCAGAUACCCAAGUACGUCAAUUUAAUCGAUUUUCUCUACAAUUUAUUCUCGCCAUUGCAAUUCCAAUUUUAGCAUAUUUUAAAUCACUUCCACCACAAAUCCAACCACCCAUUUUGCAAAAUUAAUUCUAUACACAAUUAAAAUCCUCCUCCUCGUGGGAUCGACACUCGUCACCAUUGAUCUACACUACAAUAGAUUCGUGCGCUUGCGAGUACAUUAAAAUUUGCACAACAGUUAUGUUGAAGAUUAGUUGUUAGACAAACAUGGCAAUAAAUAAAUAAAUAAAAUGAAAUUAAUUGCUUCCAGAGAGAAUUGAAGGAUUUUUGUGUCCUUCAUAGAGGCUAAUUUGUGCAAUUUAAUUAUGUGAAAACUGCACCUUCAAUGUGUUUUUGCUCUUUGUUUACAGGGAGUCCAAACUUAUGAAGACGAUUCAGGCUAACCUUCUGUACGGUAUCUUGAAUAAGGCAUCGAGAUCUUUCUAUGUAUUAAGAGUCAGAUGGCGUUGGUGAGAGGAUUUUUUGUUUUAGUUUUCAUUUCAUUAGUAUGCUUUUAGCUUUAUUUGAGUACUCAGAAAUCCAAUUUGAAGCUAGUUUUAUUUCUCAUGAGAGCUGCCAUAUUGAAUUUGUAGGCAUCUCUGAAAGUCUCUUUAAGCCUUAAAUUAAUUAAAGAGAUGCGUGCAUCAUGUUUGCGUUCGUAUACCUAUUGGUAUUUAUUGGAGACAAUUAUGUAAGAAAUUAUGUAACUUCAUGACAGUAUCAAUGAAAAAAGAAAAGUUUAGGGGGUCAAUUGGACACCAUCUGCCAUCAUGUUUGCUCACUGUAGGCACCAUCUUGAUCCUCCCCGACCCUAGGUGAGGAUUGAUGAUGAUUGUCGGUUAAUCCAAAGAUUUUUUAAAGGUAAAAAAAAAAUUAUAAAUUGUGGCAUCAACUUUGUAAUUUCUUUAAGCCAUUAAAAUAAAAUAUAUAAAAGUUGGGUCCUCUCUUGAACAUAGUUUAAAUUUAAUAAAUAAGUAAACAUUAUUAUUAUUCUUGUGCUGUCAACAUUUGUGUGUUUUUUUUUGUUAAUUUUAUUAACAACUAAACACUAGUAGUCUAUAUUUGUUGAGUUGAAAACGUUGAUUAAGAUAGACUUAUUGUAGUUUGCUUAUAUUAAUGAUCACGAGUUUAAUUUAGAGAUUUGAGCCCAAGUUCCUCCAUUUACGUAAUUAAUCAUUUUUGUUGAUUAACGCUAAUUGAUUAGAGGAAUGUGAUAACGAAAAGAUGAAAAUACCUGCUCAAAUGUUUAGUGAUUUGGAACAAGUCAGCUGAGGCUAAGCAUUUUUAUUAUUUUGGCAAUUAGAUCAUGAAUGGACAAUCUUUUUGUUUGAUCAAUUACCUCAAAUACUCUCAUUGUACUAACGUCGUCAAAUAAUCAAAACUGAUCAUCAUUAUUCAUUAAUUAAACGCUUCUGUAGAAACUAGAAAGCUUGACCGAUCUUACAAGUUCCAAGUUGGAAGAUCAUGUCGGCAGCAUUAGCAACUGUCAGGAAUCUUUAUACAAGUUGUGAUCCACCGGAGUUUCAUCGUUUACUUUUUCUUUUUCUUUUUUUGUCGACAAAGACUUGAGUGGGCCAACUAUUCAAAUAUGAGGGAAACUUGCGUGGAAGCUGAGGUGGUGGCUGGUGGGAUAACCUAUUGGUGUUCGGUUCCGUGAUGGAAUAAUGAAUGAAUCCCAUUAUGAAAUCUAUUGGCUUUCGACUUUGGGAUUCUCACUAGUUUUUUAUUUUUUAUUUUUAUAAAAUUGACUAUUGAGCAUCAGUGAACUGGAUCAGGCUACGGUGCACGUUAAAUACAUUUAGAUUAUGGAGUCCAUUGACAUCUAAUUGUAGAAUAUAAUUAUAACACAGUACCACAGUUGCACCACAUAUAUCCCUCAGUGAACUUAUCUAUCUCGUCACCUCACGUUUCGCAUAACUUUUUCACAUUCUUUCUACACUCUUUGCGUUCAUUUCACUGAAAAGAAUUAAAUCUGCUAACUUAAAUUUUUUAAAAUAUAAAGUCAGUGAAUCCCGCGGUAGAAAUCAAAUAAUUGGCUACCAUUUGUCCGACGCACAUCUCCCAACCAUGCAAGUCUUUCUCCAUCUCAAUCAACAUUCUCAAUCAUCUUGAUUAUUUUUAUUCUUCAGCUUUGCUGCUUUCCGCCAUCAACUCUUUGGACCUUUCACUGGAUCAAGCAACACCUUUGGUUAUUACAAUCUUCGGAUCUCAACAUUAAUAAGAAUCGUACGUGUAUCUGUUUUCUUUAUUUAUUUUUGCUCUGUUCCCUGUCCACUUGUCUCUGUUUUGUUCUGUAUCUACUCUUCUGUAUUUUUUUACUCUGUCAAUAAAUCCCUUCUCUUCUUCUUCAUCUCUAUAUCUUUUUAGUUGUUGUCUCUGUUCAGUUUCCUUUUGGUUCGCUUCACUUCACAUCUACAUACUUUACAAAAUUCUAAAAUUUGACCCAAAAAAAAAAAAAAAGAGAAAAGGGAAAGAAUUGAAGAUGGUGGAAAGCAUAGUAACUGUUGUGUUAGAAGUUGCAAAGUGCUUGGGUCCUCCCACUGAAAGACAAUUGAGUUAUGUGCACAACUACGGGAGCAACUUUGAGAAUCUCAAGACUGAACUUGAGAAGCUCAAGGAUGACGGUGCCAGUAUGCAGCACGGGGUUGAUGAGGCUAAAAGAAAAGGAGAAGAGAUCGAAAAGAACGUUGAGAAAUGGCUUGCAAGUGUCAACAACAUCAUUACUGAGGCUGAGAAAUUUACAGGCGAUGCAGAUAAAGCAAACAAGCGUUGUUUCAUGGGGCUGUGUCCAAAUUUGAAGACCCGCCAUCAGCUUAGCAAGGAAGCGGUGAGGCAAUUCGAAGCUAUUGUCAAACUUCGGGAAGCUGGGAGAUUUGAUAGAAUUUCCUACCGUAAAGCUCUGGAGGACAUAAGGCUUAUAUCUAACAAAGACUACGAGGCAUUUGAAUCAAGAAUCUCCACUUUGAAUAAUGCACUUCGUGCAUUACAAGAUCCUGAUGUGAACAUGGUUGGGAUUUAUGGAAUGGGCGGCAUCGGAAAGACGACACUAGCAAAAGAGGUUGCUAUUCAGUUCAAGAGAGACCAGCUAUUUGAUCAAGUGAUUUUUGUGGAGGUGCCCCAGAUUCCAGACAUAAGAAAGAUUCAAGGAGAAAUCGCUGAUAAAUUAGGUCUCAUAUUUUUCGAGGAGACCGAAUCUGGAAGGGCAAGGAGUCUUUAUAAUCGAUUGAAGGAUGAGAAAAAGAUCCUUGUAAUUUUAGAUAAUGUUUGGGAAAGUGUUGAUUUGCAGGAUGUAGGAAUUCCUCACGGAGAUAAUCACAAGGGGUGUAAAAUAUUGAUGACGGCAAGAAGUGAAGAUAUAUUGUCUGGCAAGAUGGAUUGCCGACAUAAUUUCUCAGUUGGCGUUCUAAGAGAAGACGAAGCUUGGAGUCUAUUCAAGAAGAUGGCAGGGGAGUAUAUCGAAAGUAGUGAAUUCAAAUGGGUGGCAACGGAUGUGGCAAAUGAAUGCGCAGGUUUGCCUGUUUCCAUUGUGACAGUAGCGAGGGCGUUGAGAAAUAAGAGAUUAUUUGAAUGGAAGGACGCUUUGGGGCAGUUAAGAAGGCCUUCAUCAACCAACUUUAAAGAUAUACAGCCGGCUGCUUAUUCAGCUAUAGAGUUGAGUUACAAUAAAUUAGAAGGAGAGGAGCUCAAGAAGAUCUUUUUGCUAAUAGGCUACACCUACAUAUCGUCCAUUAAUGACGUGUUAAUGUAUGGCAUGGGUUUGGGUUUGUUUCAAGGCAUCAAUAGGAUGGAAGAAGCACGAGGUCGAGUGUAUACAUUGGUGUACAAACUCAAGGCUUCUUGUAUGUUGCUUGAGCAUGGAAGCAAAAAUGAACAUUGGUUUUCUAUGCAUGAUGUUGUUCGUGAUGUUGCCAUAGCAAUUGCAACCAGAGAACAAAAUGUGCUUACGAUGAGAUAUGAACUGGUUAAUUCACGGGAAUGGCUAGAUGAAGGUGCGCUUAAGUUUUACACUUCGAUUGUCUUACACGACAGCAAGAUGAAUGUUCUUCCUGAAGUUUUGGAAUGUCCUCAACUGCAACUUCUCUCUUUGUGGACUGAGAAAUCUUCAUUAAUCACACUUCCAGACAAUUUUUUCAGGAAGUUGACGCAAGUCAGAGUUUUAGACUUGACUUAUAUGCAUCUAUCAUUACUGCCUUCAUCACUUGGUCUCCUAACAAACCUUCGAACAUUGUGUUUGUAUUGCAGCGAAUUGCAAGAUAUAGCUGUUAUAGGAGAAUUAAAGAACCUAGAAAUCCUUUGCUUAAGGGGUUCUUAUAUUGAGCAGUUGCCUGUGGAAAUAGGCCAAUUGACUCGGUUAAGGUCGCUUGAUUUGAGAGACUGUGACAGACUACAGGUUAUUCCCCCAAAUGUUUUAUCAAAUUUAUCCCAUUUGGAGGAAUUAUACAUUCGUAGCUUUAAUAAGUGGGAGGUGGAGGUGGAGGUGGAAGCUGCAGGGGUCAAGAAUGCAAGCCUUGAAGAGUUGAAGCGUUUGCCUAACUUGACCACCUUAGAAUUAUGCAUCCCAGAUGUCAACACUCUGCCGAAGGGGCUGUUCUUCGAGAAGCUGGAAAGGUACAGAAUAUGUAUUGGACGUUGGUGUUGGGAGGAUACCUCACCUACGUGUUCUAGAACAUUCAGACUCCUCCUUGGCACCGACAAUUGUAUCAGCUUCAAGAGUGGGCAUAUCGUGCAACUUCAGCGAAUUGAAGACCUUUGUUUAUCUAGAUUGCCAGACCAAGAUAUCAUUGAAUUAGUUAAUAACAAAUUGGGCUCUUAUUCUUCCCAACUGAAGCAUCUCUGGGUCGAAGGUUGUCAAGCCCCCAGUCCGAAAGAGUCAAAGGUAUGAUAUGAUCUUCCUAAAUUUCGAACAUAUCAAAGCAGCCAGUGCAAAAACAGAUUCUUCAUUUCUUAUGAGUAUGACUAUGUUCUAAACAGAGAUGCAAGGAAUCGACAAGUGAAAUGCGAUCGAAUGAAAUCAUUUUGGAGGACCUUGUCAACGUUCCUAAUACAUUUUUCCUCAAGGUCGGAUAUUAAUGAUCCAAUGGUCAUAUUCUUAUGAUUUUUUCCUUUUUUUUUUGCUGCUUUAUUAUAUAUUCUCCUUUCCUAGGAAAUAUAGGCUAGAGUGAAUCAGGGAUUAACGAACAUAUUUCAUAAUUAUAUUAAAAUUUUCAUCCUGAGUAACGUAGGUGUAACAAAUACAUUCUCGGAUGAAAGAAAAAGUACCCUGAAUGCACUUAUAUACUAACUUUGAUCUCCUCAUAUAACGGUUGGAAAGUUUUGUGAACAGGGUGGGUUACCAAACUUGGAGACCUUGGAGCUGUAUAAUGUAAAUGUGGAGAGGAUUUGGAAAAGCCAACUUCCGGCCAUGUCUUGUGGCAUUCAAACUUUAACCCGGUUGAUUGUAUAUGGCUGUGGGGAAUUAAGAUGUCUGUUUUCAUCUUCUAUAGUUAACAGCUUUAUUCGACUCCAACACCUUGAGAUAGAUGAGUGCCCUAUUUUGGAAGAGAUAAUAGUCAUAGACCAGCAAGAAAGGAAGAAUGUUGUGUUCCCUCAGUUACAAUUUCUAAAGAUGG
rnacentral:lncRNA from 1 species